UUUUUUUUUUUUUUUUUUUGCAACUGUUAGUUCAAAGUACGCCCCUAGCUGCAGAAGGCGUGCAAUUACAGUUUGAGAAAGAGUUGGGAGACGAAGAAAAGAACGUAAUAUUUUGAAGGGGGUUUGAGUUGGAGAGUAUUUAUAGAGUUGUUAACUUAUGAGGUUGUUAAAUUGUUAAGUUGAACGAAGACCGGCGGCUCGUAUAUCUUGAAAUGUACCCAUUUCUAGAAUACGUGAAUUAGGCAGGGGGGAAUUUGGAUCAAAUAUUUUUCUCCUGUGUGCGUGGAAAAUGGGAACAUCAUUGUUGACCAGUGACCCAGGCUCCUUCCUCUGCCUUUCGGAUAAUUUCAACGGUCAAAAUAAUAAACCCACAGGUCUUGGAAGAUUCUUGAUCAUAAAUAGUGGCAUUAAGUUGGCUUCUAGCUCUUUUUUUUUUGUGCACUAAGUUGGCAUUAAGUUGGCUUCUAGCUCUUCACAUCAUGCACAUGGUUGUUUUAGAAGAUCCCUAGUGUGAUUGUUUAGAUUUACAGUGUAGAAAAGUACUCCUCUUUUUUUUUUUUUCUUUUUGAGUUUUCUUUCCCUUUCCAAACGGGAGACUGAUUAAUUUAGUCAGAAAAAUAGUCGGAAUAAUGAAAUUAUUUCAAAUAUUUUCCAACCCACCUUGAAUAGUAAAUUUAUUUCAAAUAAUAUUUCACUUGCAUCAUAAAUUCAUUUUCUAAUUCAUACUUUUAUAUUUUCAAUCAUCUUUUUAUCUCACAUAUAUCACAUCAUAAAAAGUGUUACAGUAAUUAUUUCAAAUAAUACUCUGUCCAAACAAACCCAAAGACAGCCGACUCUCUGUGUAUUUUUGUCUGCCUCAGUGGUCAUCGUGUUUCCCUCAACUUGAUUCCGAUUCCUUAAAAAGUUGUAAUCUUCGAACUUGAAAGGAAUAUCUUAUACUCCCUCCGUCCCGUUUUGUUAGUCUUGUUUUCCUUUUUUGUCUGUCCCAAAUUGUAGUCCACUUUCCUAGUAAGGAAUGUAGUAAUCUUUCAAAUUGUCUAAAAUACCCUUAUUAAAUAUCUUGUUAUUAAUACAUUGUUAUUAAAUACUAACCCACUAUAUUGAAUACAUUGAGCUUUUCCAAUACAUAGAUAAAUGAAAAGUCUAUCUUUGUUAUUUAUUGGCACUAUUGGCGGUAAUUGAAACAAUCAGGGUGUAUUGGCGGUAACUGAUAUUUAUUGGCACCAUUAGCUGUAACUGAUAUUAAUUGGCACUCUUCGUGAUUAGCAUAAGGGUAUUUUAGGAAAUUAUUAAUCUAAAUUUAUGUUUCCAACCAAAUUAAUUACACUUUCUUAAUCUGUGUGAAAAAAAAAUUAAGACUAACAAAACGGGACGGAGGGAGUAAUAAAACUAAUUGGAGAUUGAUUUUGUUGAGGGUGCUUAGUUGUCACUCGUGUCCGUUCCCUCUUUCGCUUAUAAAUUAUAAUAAUCCUUUCAACACUUCUUUUGUACCCUAGUCAAGAUUGGUAGAUAGUUCUUUUAAAGUAAACCACAUGCCAAAAUGAAAUUAAUCGACCAAUUGAAAUACACAAGAGAUACAAAUAAAUAGAAUCCAAUAUCCUUUAAUUUCUUUGUAUUUUCGUUCACGGCAACUAGAAUUACCCAACCAAAUCAUCAAGUUCAUGGUGCUUGUGGCCUUGAAAUGGAAUUUUCUCUCCUCCUAAAUUUUUGUAUACCAAAAAUAGAAAACAACCACUUCUAGAACAACCAAGGGCAGCAAAAGAGUUUUAUAAUUACAUGCUUGCCAAAGGCGAAACCAGCGUAUAUUUGGUAAAUUCUUGCCUACAAGAAUAUAUCUUGGAAGUUGGAAGCAUGUUUUUAUCGAGGAGUUAUCUCCCAUUUUAUGCAGUUAAUAGAUGUUUGUGACUCCAAAAAAAAACACACACACACACACUUAAAAAGUGUGUUUGGAUAGAGGAUUAUUUGAGACAAUUUUUUGAGAAAAAUACUGUAACAUUUUUUUUUUGAUGAGAUGUAUAUGAAAUAAAAGAAAAAUUAAAAAAUCUAUUGAUGAUACAAGUAAGUAAAUCAGUGUAUGUAAAUAAGAUGCAAACCAAACUAAUUAUGGUUGUUGCUGCAUGAUUAGACUCUGGCUGGCUUUUACUACAAAACAAAAUUUAACACAGUAUCUGCUGUAUUAAUCUGGAUCUAUUUUUUUUUAUUGUUUUAUUUGAUAAUUGAUACCAAUGAGAGAAUGUGUACAGCUACAAGCAGUAGAUAAAUCAGCAUCGCUUUAGGGCGGCUCGAACAUGCAAAACAUCCAUUGUCCUUGUCAAUAAUUUUGGUUGUGGGGUAUUGAUGUUUGUUUAACGAACUGAAUUAGAAUCCAGAGCAUCUCUCAAACAACUUUGUCCGUGAUUAAUUGUUUUUGUUAAAAAAAACAUUUAUCUUUUUUUUUUUAAGAAAAAUAUUUGCUUUUCCAUUCCGAAUAAUUACUCUUUUAACUCCGAUUUAUGAGUGAGACAACAUGCUAGUGACAUCAAGAAGUAGCUAAGGGAAAAAGAUAAGGCAGAAAUAUUAGUGGAUAAAGCUUUCCAUAAAAUUAGAUGACAUUAACCUGUCCCGAGUAUUCAUUUGCAUUAGAGUUUUCUUUUUUCAGAAAUUCCAAAUAUUUACCUCGUCGAAGAUUAACUUAUGGAUUAACAAUUGGAAUCCACAUAGUCCUUUGAUUGAAGCAAAACAUCAGAGGUAACUUGGUUUUAAUUUGGCAUGGUUUAAACAGUAUACUCUUUGGCAUGCUUUUAUCGUGUGGUUGGAUUGUAAGAAACAGGAUAGCAAUUAAAGACAGGUUAUUGUGAUGGGGAGUUGUUUCAGAAGGAUGAUGUUCUUCAUGCGCCUAUAUGCAAAUGAUUCACUGGAGCACCUGUUUUUCUCUUGUGAAUAUAUAUAGCUUAUGUUUUGGGGAGAGUUCGAAGGCAUUUUUGCUUGUUAUAUAUGGGAUUUAUGGUUGUUCUCAAGAACUUAAUUCAACAUAUUAAUAGGGAUGGCAAUAGGGGCGGGUGACCCGCCCCGCGGGGGGCUAAUGGGGAGGGGGUUGGGGCAGGGGCGGGGGGAAUUUUUUUCCCCCCGCUUAGAAACAGGGCGGGGGCGGGGGGUAACCGCCACCUGCUUUAAAAAAAUAAAUAUAUAAAAUAUAUAUGUAUAUAAUUAUAUAUAUAAUAUAUAAUUUAAUUAGUUACAAACUUAUGAUAAUGAUAUUAUUAGUUAUAUGUAUUAUAUAAUGUCUAUUAGUAUAUAUAAUAUAAUUGAUAUUAUUAAUUAUACUAAUAAUUAUAUAUGUGUACUAAUACAAAUUAUUAAUUGGUUAUACUAAAUUUACUAAUACAUUUAUACUAAAUCCCUAAUUACACUUAAUACAACAACAUUUUUUUCUUAAAAAAAGCACAAGCACAAUAAUGAAUUAGUGAUUGUAUUUGUGCCAAAAGUGAAAACUUGACUACUUUAGUUAUAUUUAUUUCAUCAUGUUGGAUUGUAUUUAAAUAAUUUUUAUUUGAUUGUUUUUGUAAGUUUCAAUUAUAAAAUUACAAUGAAUAAUAAUUUGAUGAUGUGUUGAUAUUUUAGUACUUGAUUAUUUGUUAAAAUUUAACCAUAAUAAAAUUAUAUAACAAAUUUUUAUUAGUCUCGCAGGAGCACCCGCGGGGAAAACGGGGCGGGGGGAGCGGGGGACGGGGGAUGGAGGAGGGGUCCCCCAUCCCUACAUAUUAACUAUGGUUCUUUUAUCACUAUGGUCUGUAAAUGUGCUUUUGCAGUGACUAUUUAUAUUUUAUACCCCCUAUGGAGAGAGGAACAGAAGGCUGCUUUGUAGAAGCACUAUGGCUGCAGAUGCUAUCAUUCAAUCAAUUAUGCAGAUGAUUGGGAAUAUUGUGUAAAUUAGGAGUUUAGUUACAAUGGAAUUUUGUUCCUGAUGUCUUUCCUUUGAAUCAGAUUAUAGUGCAGGAGUUUUACUGCUUUGUGACUGCAUAUUGCUUUUUCUAAUAAAAGUUUAUUAAUCGCCCGAGAAAAAAUAAAGGCCAUGGCUCGUCAAAUCUUGAUUUGCUCCUACGCUAUUGCUGUGCCUAGAGAUUGGCAAUAAUGUUUGAAUUUGUAAAAAUUUAGCCUAAUUUGAAACUUUAACUCAUUUUAAUCUGUCGCGCACUCUCAAAAUACUAUGACACUCAUAUGUAAAUUACAUUAGAAAAGAAAAUUUUGGAAGAUACCAUGUAAUUGCAAGGAAGAUAAUGGAAAUUAUGCUUAUUUGAUGAAUUUCUUAGAGGGCUUAAUCCUAAAAUCCGAAAAAAUAAAUAAAUAAUUUCUAUCCUAGUUUUGUUUUAAAGGAAAAAGAAGGAAAAGAAGACCAAAACUUUUAGGGUAAAGUACAUAAAACCCCCAUGUGGUUAAGGAAAUUGACACGAAACCUCCUCAUUGUUUAGAAACUCUCACUUAACCCUCCUGUGCUUUGGACUUAUUUGAAUUUUACCUGCUAACCGGCUGAGGAGCCGGUAAUAAUAUGAAAUACCAAAAAUACCCUCAUAUAUAAUAUGUGAAAAGUUACAGAUGCAACGAGUCAAUCUGGAGCGGAUGAAAGAAACUGAGAGAGAAACCGGGUUAUUCUCUACCUUGGACAUAGUUUGGAUUAUUCGGUCUUUCAGCUGAAGUAGUUCUUCAGCCUCGGACAGGGGACGCCUUAGGUUCUCUGGAAGAUUUCUAUUUUCCAGAAAUAAGUGUUCUUGGAUUUCCACCAGCGGCGGAGUAGGAAAGCGAGGCACGGAAAAGUGGUGGAGUUGGAAAUUUUGGGAAAGGGUUUUUUGCAAUCCAUCCCAGUCAAUCUCUGGAUGCCGUGGAACUUCAAUCCCCGGUUGACCCAAAUGCAAGUCCAGAUCAAGAUCCCCCAAAUCAGCAUGAGGAAUGGCCUGUUCCAUCGCAUAGGCCACCGGCAGCGGCACCAUAGACAUGAGAAUGAAAGCAAAGGGAAGAAUCUUUGCCGGUCCAUUCACGACGAAGAGUUACCAAAAAACAGCCAAAAUACUGCAAAGAAAGCAAAGGGUCAAGCAUAAUUAGCAAGGAAGACAAACGGUUGAUGAGUAAACCUUGAGCAGGAGCUUUAUCCGAAUGCCAAAGGCAAUAGAAAAGCCCCUUCCACAGCCUUUUCAUAUCAUCCUCGGGAAGUUCGGUUUGAGAGUCUGACAGCCAAGCUUGAAUUAGCUUGAGGGAUUGGGAUUUGAUUGAGGCGUUGCAAGAGGCUAAGUGCUUAAUCAAGGACGGCCCAGGUAGGGCUGAGAGGGUUGCUAAAAAGGGUUUCGGCUUUGGGGUUCGUGGAGGAAGCAGUAGACGUGGUUCCCGUUUUGUCCUUGGCUUUGAUUUUCUGCAUUUUCUGGGUUGCGGUUUCAGAUUGGGAAGCAGUAGACGUGGUUUUUGCUAUUUUUACAGGCUUGGAAAAUUUGCUAACUAAUCCUUAGACUAUUUAUGAAGUUUUAAUAUGGUGCGACUUUUGAUUUACAACUGUUUGCUCCUCCAGCUGCCCAGUAAUAACUCGCAUCGCUCAGCAAUACAGUUACCUUCUUCCGUUUUGCAUCUUUGGCCCUUCCCGUCCAAACUUUGGGUCUUCGUUUUGCAUCUCUGUCGAAAUUUUUCAUUUGCAGAUCUACAACUAUGGUGGGUGCAAGCUUGGAAGAGACAUGGAGGACAAAAUUGGAAUGAAAUGAGUUUCUGCUAGACACAAGUUACCAUUAAGUCGCGUAAAUAUCACUCGCUAGCUCUCCAGCCGGUUAGCAGGUAAAAUCCAAACAAGUCCAAAGCACAGGGGGGUUAAGUGGGAGUUUCUAAACAAUGAGGAGGUUUCGUGUCAAUUUCCUUAACCACAGGGGGAUUUUAUGUACUUUACCCAAACUUUUAUGGCUUUCAUGGGUUCAAGUUUCGUCCAUUCGCGGACAUGCGCAUCCAUCCAAGUCUGCUUUUCGGAAGCCGAGUCCGUUCAUCAAUUUUGGGCGAAAAGUGUGGCUCGAAAUGGACAAGCUGCUUGCUUCGUACUGGUUUUUCCAACCCAUCCAAGGUAAUUCUGACGUGGCUCAGUGGGCUUAUGAAAAAUUGCCUGAUAUGAGACACUUAUGAGGUUUUCUAAUUUUGUUUGAUGUUGGACCGGCCUAGCGCUAAACUCAAACCCAUUUCAGCUUCUCGGUCCAUGCAUCUUGCAAGUUUAUUUUAUUCUACUGCUUCUUGGUCCAAGCAAAUUCUUCUAGGAUAUCUUUAAAGUUUAAUCCAUAUUUGUUUCUGUAAUUUGAAUUGCACUUUAAAACGCCAAAGGCAAAGAUUCAUGGCCGGUAAAACGAAGGCCAUGAGGUUAUAUACUUAAAAACUUAAUUGCCAAACAAGUUGGGUUUUAGGACAUGCUGUCCAAUGACUAGCUUGAUUCGACAUCCUUUAAUUUCUCCAUGAGAUACGAAAGUUUCAGUGCAAUAAGUGUGCCUUUUGACAAUGAGGAACACCAAAAGUCUUUAGGGCUUGGUGAGUGGGAAGCCAACCUUAGCUCUCAUCAUUUGCUAUUUUACGUGGUUUGUCAUUUUAAGUUAUUUUUUUUACAUUCAUACGGAUUUGUAGUGUACCCGUUUGAUCUGAUGAUGGUUGAAUUUUUGUCGAUUUUCCUGUAGAUUCGAUUGGACUUCCCCUAGAAUAGGCUAAAAUAAGAAUAAGAGUAGGUAUAAGAUAGAUAAGCGACAAUUGACAAAAAAAAUAAUAAUAAAGGACCAUGAGGAACACCAGAAAAUUAUAAAAGUCCAUUCAAACACACCCUUGGUCCACACUCUACUCAGUAUUCAACGUUCAAAUUUCAAGUUUCAAUCCAACCAAAGGGCUUUAUUUUCAUUUUCCACUCACCACUCGCUGCACCACAAACUAACAUCAUAAUUCUAGAAAAUGACAUAGAAAUUCAUAGUCAAAGCACAUCCAUUGGAUUCUUUGCAACAAAAUACUUGUAAUUAGGAUCAUCAGACUCCACAGUAGGUUUUGACAAAAAAAAAAAAAAAAAAAAAAGACUCCACAGUAGGAUUUAAUUCGACACUUGGAUUUCUGCCCCUCCUUAGUCAAGCAGAAUAGAAGAUACUUGUAGGGAUCGAAUGGCUUGUGCUGCAACGGAUGCUCAUCAUCAACUAGCUUUUCUAGUACUUGAACCAUCACGUCCCUUGUGAAUGCAAAUAGGCUGAGGGAAUAUCUUUCUUCACUCCCUGAAUUUUUACCCGAGGAAGUGGAGGUUCGAUCCUGCCAUUAGUCCAUGCCUAGAAAGGCCAAAUUAAAACAACAUUUAGAUUGAAAAUUAAGUCAAGCCAGUUUUAAGCAUAGUUAUUAAACCCGACCCGACCCGACCCGGCGGUUGAACCAGUCAAAUUUGUGGACCCGCCAUAAAAUCGGGCAGGAUUGAUAAUUGGAUCGGAGUUGCAGAUGACUCGUUUGGAAUUGUUUGACCCGAACAGUCAAACUAAUGACCUGCCAAACCCGGCAAUUUUUUAUGAAUCCAGCGGGUUUCGAAAUUUUUUGAAAUUAUCGUUUUACCCAAUUUAUUAAUUUAACUGCCCAUAUCAGCAUGGGCAUUUGUUGUCUUUUUAACAAUUAGAUGAGAAAAAUUGAAAAGAAAUUUAGGAUUUAGGAUUUUUUUUCUUUCUUUGACACUUAGAUUUGUCAUUUAUAUUUGUGUAUAAUAUCAAUAUGAAUUAUUGAAUUAAGGAACACGUAUGGGUAUGAAUUAUGAAAUAUGAAUAGGUUAUGGUUUAUUAACAUUUAAGAAUUUUUGUACUUAUAUUAUAAUUUAUAUGUUUAUUUAAUUAUAUUAUAUAGUAUGAUCCGACGAUUCAACCAGUGAUCUGUCGGUUGAAUCACUGACCUGCCAACCUGAUCCUCCAAUCAGGUUAUGAUUUUAAUAAUUAUGAUUUUAAGUAUUACAACUAGUGUAAAUGUCAUAAUAUAUAGGUGUAUACAAAAUGAUUAUAUAUAUAUAUAUAUAUUUAACUUCCGGUAAAUAUGUAAAACGAAUGAAGGUCAAGAAGGCCGUAGUUUAGUUACGAAGAUUGAGAUUUAGGAAUUAGAUCUUGUUUGGAUUGCGGUUUAUUUGUCAAAAUAUAUUUGCUUACAUCAUCAUUACAAUUUCCAAUACACCUUUUUAUCUUUCCAAUUACCUUUUUAUCUCACAUACAUCACAUCACAAAAAGUGCUAUAAUAAAAAUAUCUCUAAUAAUUCACAAUCCAAACAAUUGAAUUUAAAUUUUCUGUUCCUCCGAGCACUUCUUAAAUCUUACUCUCUUAAAGAAGCAAAAAAAAAAAAAAAAAAGUGGUAGAGCGAAGAAAGUAAUGGGACGUGGCAUACCAUACAUACAUCCCCCGCCAUGACAAUGAAAGAAGAAGGAGAUAAGGAAUCAAUAAGCAUCUAUCCGCCAUUCUUGGUCUUGAUCUCUAGACCAUUUACUUGUGCUUGAUGAAGACUGGACCUGAAGGUCCGGUCAGUGUGAUGGAAAAGACCGACAUUGCUUUCAUCUUCUCGGGGCCCCCUGUAAUUGAUUAGCCUAAAAAGGUAGUAAAUGGAUCCGAGAAGUGAUUCACAAUCUUUCUCUACACCGUAAGUCUCUGCCACCAUCCUCAUCACCACAUGAUAUAGUUCAGCAACAAGCUUUGAGUACGAGAGUGUUGUGUCACUGUUCAAUUCAAGAAAUCAUAACCCUGAAAAGCACUAGUAAUUUAACAUGUCAAGUGAAAUAACCACUCCACUGAUUAACUGAUGGCAGAACACGCAUUCACACAUUUAUAAAUGAGUACACACCUAAAAUGAUUGUUUCCAUUGCGCCAUAAGACGUUGGUGAAUUUCUGAACUCCAUCAAAAGUUGUGCCAUUUUCGAUGCCCAAAGCUUCGAGCAAAAGAAUUCUACGGUGUCCGAUCUAGCCAUGAGAAGGUGAAUCAGAAAGUGUCGAGGACUUUGGUUUCCGUCGGGAGAUCAAACAACUCCAGGGAUGCACGAAAGAUAGCCUGGUGAAGUUCCAAGGAAACCUUACCGUAGUUCGCUAUGAAACAGCCAUACUCUUCCAGGGCUCAAACAACUUCUUCCCGUGUCGAGAGCCAACGAGUAGAACUGGGAUUCAAGGUUUGCCCAGUGAAGUCUAGAACAGGAAGCUGGUUUUGCCUUGAUACAGAACCCAUGAAAAGAAUCGAGUAUCCUGUUGGUAGCUGGCUUUGCUCGGAGUUUUCCUAGUUUUAGAAAUGGCAAAGGAAAAUCUUUGGUAUAUGCUAAUAGCUAAGUACUACUACCAUUCAAUUCACGCGUACGAUACUUAUAAUUGUGGGUGGAAAAGGGUGUUAUGGCAUGUACUCCACUUUCUUUCUCCUUUUUUUUUGGAUAAUUUUUGUUCACCUCUAAUUGCUCUCGUAAUAUAGAGCAUCUGGUAGCAUUUUAUUCAUGAUUAGUGCACAAUACUGAAGUACAGUGAAGGCGUUAAGCAUUAAUUAAUGGAAAGCUAAGUACAUGGAAUGCCUUCAGCAUUUUAUUCAUUAUUAACUAUUAACUAUUGAUAAUUUGAUAUGGUAGAAUAAACGUCCUUUCCAACAUAAACUCAAAAAUCCCCUUUCCUACAGCAGUGCAGCUUAUCUGCUGUUCCUACAAGGCUACAACUCGGGACGGCUCCCUUCGAUACAUUGUCCCCUUGGAGUCACUACUAUUUUAAACGUAUUCAGAUGCGGUAAGAAGCCUUUUGGGUAGAGUAGUUGGACAUUGGGUAUAGGUCAUGGAAUCAAAAUCUCUUAAUUUGUAUUCUAUAAAUUCGGCUUAUAUUCUAAAAAUUCAAGAUUUCCUGAAAAUUUCAUCAGAGUGCAUAGGAUCCCCUAUUAUAAAGUAAGAAUAUGUAUAGAAUAAAAUCUAUCGUAUUAAAAAGAAAAAGAAAAAGAAGCCUUUUGGAUCGUGAUCUUGCAAGUUGUAAUAUCAUAUCUUGUUACUAUCAGAUGGGUCAUGAGGGACUCCAAGGCAAUGAGAAAAAAAAAAAAAAAAUCUCCUCAUAAUAAUCCUAACUUGUUUUAGGAUAAAUUGAGUCACAACUCACACAUGAUUCAAUGCCUCAUUCUUUGGCUUCAUAACAGCUAUACUUGAAAUGCUUUUUGAUCUUAAUAGACAUCGUCUUAGUAACUAGGCAUGUCAUGGGCAAUGUUUGAAUUAUAUCCCUUUGAUCCAGAUUCAAGCUCAUUAAAUUUAGUUAGACCCAAUGUCAAACCCUUUUGGGUCUGAGAAAAAAAGUCCAUACCCAAAUUCUCUUGAAUUUGGGUAUCCAUUAGGUAUUCGUUAUAUUUUUGUAAAUGUACUAAAAUAAAAAUAUAUUAAAAAUAUAUAGAUUUCAAAAAAAUAUAUAAACACCAUCCAAUUUUUAUUUUCAAAUAAUAAAAUUAAUAUUCAAAAAGUUGAAUGCAAUGUUAUGAACUCAAAAAAAUAACUACUAUCAACUACUUUUAUUUAUUUUUAAGGAAAAAUUUCAGAUAUCUCUCCCGAGGUUUCUAACAGUCUCACUCCCUCCCCCUAAGGUUUCCAAAAUAUCACAAACUUCUCCCGAUAGACUUUUGGGUUCUAUUUCUUUCAUCAUCAUAGUCAAAAAGACUUAAAUACCCACACAACUUAGCAAAUAUUUUGUGAUUAUCUAAACAAAUUUAGUUAAGUUAGUUAUAAACACAGUUAAAGUAAUUAACAAUAAAUUAUGUUCCUUUAAUGAAUACAUAAAAAGGCUUUAGCAAAAUGACGCCAAAAUAUGGCGCCAAUUGGUAUAUAUAUAAAGCUGCAGGUACAUAUUGUCACUUCUCCUUAGUCUCUUCCAGCCAUUUUUGAUCAUUUGCAAAGAAUGACCUUUUUCCAUGGCGGUAGGGAUUGAAUCUUGCUUAUAAAAAGAUGAUUCCAUUAGCUACUAGGCGGUACUGCUGCCACCACAUUUGCAGCAACUUUAGGCUUCAGUUUCCUGGACUAUUAUUGAACGAUUUAUUCUGGAAAGCUGCUAAGAGCUAUGAUGCAAUAGGUUACAACGAAGCAAUAAUGAGCAUUAAAGACAUUAAUGUAAAAGCAUGGAGAUACUUAUCAAAGAUUUCACAUGAAUCUUGGAUUAGGCACGCAUACUCAAAUGAGAUGAAGUGUGAUAUGUCACAAAUAAUUUUACUGAAUCUUUCUUCAUGCAUAGCUUCACUUACACCCCUUCAAGUUUUAUUUUUGGUAAACUUCCUGUUUAUUCUUCAUGUGAUAUUAGCUCAUAAUGCAAGACAAUGAGGUCAUAGUUGUUUCUCUCUCCAACUCCCCAUUUUUUGUUGUUACUUUUUUUGAAAUGGGUUGGAUUUGAGAAUGCCUAUUUAGUUUUAGGGGAGGUUUGUGAUAUUUUGGAAACCUCAGAGGAGGUAUCUAAAAUUAUCCCUAUUUUUAAAGCUUCGACUAUAUUUACAUUUCAUCUUUCAUUUAUUUGCCUUUAUUUUUUCUCCUUUUUUCUUAAAAAGUUUGUACAAAUUAUAAUGACAACUAGAUUGAAAAAAGAAAAUAAUCAUGAAGUCUUAUUGUAUUCAGUCCAAUAACCAUAGAAUAUUAGAAUAUUAUAUAAAUUUACUAAUAUAUAUAAUUUAAUUAUAUAUAUAUAUAUAUAUAUAUAUAUGAAUCUGGAUAGAGUCUGGUGUGGGUUUGAAUUUAGAUAUAAAUAAUAAAAAAUCAUACACUAUCCAGACCCAUAACUUUUUUACAGGGCUUGGGUCUGGGUAGGGUUUAGAUCUGAGAAAUUAAAUUCAAACCCUACUCAAGUACAUUGGGUUUGAAUUGGAUCUAAAUAAGGUCCGAUCCAUUGACAUGUCUAUUUGUAACUAUAAACACACACACUUGCGUGUAUUAUUCCCUUGUAUUUAACAAAUUUAUCUAUUUAACUUCAUUCUAUUAAAAAUAUAUUAUUAUUUCUCACCAGUGCCCGCAAGUUGUUUGCUAACAAGCAAGUUUUUUACGCUGAUUCAGAUAAGACUGAUAUGUUUUUCUCUUUAACUCUCCUUGUAAUAUCUUAUUUCUACCAAUGCAGUUUUCACAUUAACAAUAAAAUUAAGUUCUAUUCUGCUUACCUCUUGUUAGAAGAAUCUUUUCCAAUCUUUUCUGUGGGAAAUACCGAAGGUUACCUUGAUAUUUUUAAAAGUCAUUGGUGAAGAAUUUAGUAAACUCGUCCUAUUGGUCUAUCGUUCAGAAGGAAAAAUUUCAUCAUCUUUUAUGAGCAAGGGUUUAUUUUCAAUGGCUUUGAUUCAAACGAACAAGGCUUACCUCAAUGUUUCUAAUCUUUUUGAAUAAUUUUGAUGAUGGGGUCCUUAAAAUAUUUUGGUUCAUCACGAUAUAUUUUAUUAUUCAAGAUUCAUGAUUUCUAUAGGUAGGGUUUCCUUUCUUUCUAAUCUUAAAAAAUCUCCUUUUCCAAUUUCAUAGUUUGUAAGAACUGGAGAGUAGUCCCAGUACUCACAAUUAGGGGUGGCAAUUCGGGUCCAAAUCAGGUUGACGGGUCGGGUUCGGGUCAACCCGUCAGAAAAUCUGUUGACCCGAACCCGACCCGCCAACCCGUGACAGGUCAGGUAUGCUGACCCGAAUCCGAAAAUUUCGGGUUGGCGGGUCAACCCGAAAUGAUCCGAAACUUAAUUUUAAUUUAUUAAUUUAUCACUGUAAUUUCUAAUAAAAUCAAUUUCUCACAAAACUAAUUACAUAAUCAAGUAAUAAAAAUUUAAAUAAAUAAUUCCAAACCAAAUCUAAAAUAAAUUAAACACCGUAAAAGUGUUUUAUCCCAAACAAAAUAUAAAAUAAAUUAAAACAAUAUAAAAGUAAAAAAUAAUAUAAUAUAUUCUUUGUCCAAAUAUAAUAAUUUCAACUUCACACAAAUUAAAUAAAUUCAUUUAGGAUUAAGUAAUUAAUGCCUUUGAAAAAAAGAAUAACUUAGUUUAGUUAGAUAAAAUUAUUUUUAUGUUUAUUAAAUUAUUUUUAAUUCGUAAACGGGUUAUAUCGGGUCAUAUCAGGUCACCACGGGUUGACCCGAAAUCGACCUGUUUUCUUUUCGGGUUCAUCGGGUCCAACCCGAUUCUGACCCGAAUUCCCGAAACCUCAACCCAAACCCAUUAAUUUCGUGUUAGGUUCGUGUCGUGUUUUCAGGUCGUGUCGAAAAUUGCCACCCCUACUCACAAUCCUGUAUUUCGCCAGACACAUUAGUACAGUUUUGGUGAUAUCAAUUUUUUAUAAUUAUUUAGGAUUUAUCUUUUUUUAUAUUGACCAUGCAUUCAAUAGUAUCAUUGAACGUAUAACAAUUAAUUUAAAUUUGAAUUUAAAAUCUAAAUUUUAUACAUUUCAAUGUGUUUACACUAUUAAUACUAGGUGCAUUUAAUAAAAUUGAAAUUUGAAAUCUGAAUUUUGAAAUCUGAAUCUAUUAAAUUACUAAAUUGUUAAUUAUUAAAUAUGAUACAUUUGAAUGCACUUAUUUUUUUGGAGCAAAUUUUGUUUAAACAAUUCAGUGUCAUUUAAUUAAUUCAGAUGUUCCACUUUUUUUAUGAAGCACAUCUGAAUAUAUUAAGAUUUAAAUUUAUUAAAUUUAAAUGCUAAAUUGAAUUAUCAAAUAGAGCUUAUAUAAACUUACGACGAAAUUCUCGUUACAAAUUCGUAGAGGCACUUGUUAGUGAUGAAAAUCAAAACGGAUUUGCUAUACGAGCCCAUUAAUUGCCCAGAUUUGGCAACUAAAGUUGAGUAAGACAUUUGAAUACAUUUAUUUUGCAAGAAAAAUUAUGGGUUUGUAGAAGUGAACAAUCAGUAGAGGCCGAAAAAUGGAAUUUAUAGCUUGGACUAAGACACUGCAACACCUGACCAAUUUUGUUACACCUUCGGCCCAUUUUGGUUACCAUUUUCAAGCAGUCUGCCUCAAAUUUCCAUUUUUAGGUUCCGUUUGAUAAAACUGAAUUUGAAUUCUGAAGUCUGAACUCUAAAAUCUAAAUACUGAAACAAUUAAUUUACUGAAUUUUAAGCACUGAAAAGAAAUAUAUGAAUGUCUGAAUUUUAAUGUUGAACCUAUUUAUAUUAUUUGAUACGCAUUUAUACUGAAUGCUUAAUAAGUUAAAUUCUUAUAUCUUUUCAUCCAAAAAAGAAAUAGAACCUAUGAUUUAAUUAGUUUAAAAUUUUUAGGCAUGAAAAUGACAAUAUUUAUUUUUAAAUCAAAUUAAUAUAAAAGAUGAAAUAUAUUAUAUGAUGGGUAUGGAGAAGAUGUGAAAGUCAUUAGAAAGGAAGAAAAGAGAAAUAGAAAAUCAUUAGAUAGAGAAUAUUAAGUUGUUUAAUUAGAUAAGAAUUUUGAAUAUAAUUAAUAAAUAAGGGUAGAUUUGGUAGAUAACAUAAGAUAGUUGAAGUUAUUCUAUUGAUUCUUAUCAAAAUUAAGCAAUUAAUUAGGAUUCUUGUGUUGAAAAAAAUACACACAAGUUCAGCACUACUUAACAAAUUCAGCAAAUGUAUUUUCAUUUAUUAAACACUCAAAACAUCUGAAUGUCUGAAAAAGUUCAGAUUCAGUACUUUUUAAUGUUAUCAAACAGACCCUUAGUAUAGGACAACCCAGGUCACCGGAUCUCCUAAGCUUGGUCAAAAAAAAAAAAAAAAAAAAAAAUUGCUCACUCUGAAUUGAAUUGUUUAAAGUAAAUUAUCAGGAUCCGUUUGACUGAGCAUGUUUUUUGGUGUUUGUUUUAGGGAAAAAAAUUAAUGUUUGUUCAAAACUAUUUAUUUUUCCAAAAAAAAAAAUUUCCUAUCUAAUACUAUAUGUUUAUUGAUAUUUUUUAAAAUUUAUGAGUAUUUUAGAGUGCUAUCGUAAAUAACUAGACUUUCCAUACCUUCAAAACAGAGCUGCCAAAACAGUCCUAUCAAUCUUAAUUCGAACUAGUCAAAGAGAGGUAAAAAACAGAUUUUAUUCUCCAGAAAUCAAAUCAAACUAGUCAAAGAAAAGAAAAGAAAAGAAAAGAGGAUGCUUGUGGGAUUUUCUAUCGAGAGAUCAACUUCAAGAUAAUAGCACAGCAAACAAAAAGAUUGGAAGACUCGCUUAUUGGAAUAUUCCUGUAGUGGACAAAAAGAUUGGAAGACCUUUUAUGAUUCUAUUAUCGGAAUACUAAACAGUCAAAUGAAUGGAGGACCCAUAGAUCUUAUUAAUCUAGCUCAAAAAUCUUGAGAAAUCAAUAACGCAAUAUAGCUAAAAAUCCUUUAGAAAUCAACUGUGUGAAAUUUAGACACUUGACAGGUGACGAAACUGUGUAAUAAUAAAUACUUACUCACGAAAAUAUAUAAACGAAUAUAAUGGUAAAUAAGAUUGUUUUUACAGGGACCAGGAGAAGAAUUUGUCUCUUUCCAAAUAAAAACUAAUUGAGAGUUUUGAGAAAUUAAAAUUAAAAUAAAUGAUCAGCGUAAAUAAAAAAUAAUUAAAUUAAGACAAAUUAAAUUCAAAUCAAGAAUAAACAAGCUCUAGUCAAGGAAAAAAUUUCAAAAGUGGUUCAUAAAACAGUUCAUCAAUGCAAUAAUUAUUUCAUCUAUACAUUAAAAAACAGGUUAUAGUUGCCAAUAUGCGAUGACAACCAACUUUUUCUUACCGUCUCGAUAGUUAAAGUACGUCCGUUAACUACUUUCCUAACCAAAAAAUAACGCUAGGUACCCCCAGAGAAUUUAAUUUUUUGAUUACAUUAUAAAAUAGAAAAAUCAUGUUCUAAUCAAUAAACACACUACCAAAAUUUAUUUAAAUUAGAUUAUAUGUUUUCCUAACAUCACGCGAGUCACCAUUAAUUUAAAAUAAUUAAAUAAUUAUGAAUUUAAUUGUCUUAAGUGGCGUUAGUUUGCUAAGGUGAAUUAAAUAUCGGGUGCUUUUGAUAUUCAAUCAACAAAACAACCAUAAAAAAUUAAAUUAGAAAAAAUAUAUGAAUACUAACAAAUAGAAGAAAUAGGUAAAAUAAUUAGAUCUUACAGAUGCAGUUGAACCAAAUCGUUCACUAUCUCUUGACUAGAAAAAGAAAAUUGGUUGCCUUCCAUUGGGAAUAAACCAAGCAACUUCAUUGAUAAAUGUUGUAUCAGCUGGGUUCGAUAAUAGACAAUGAAAGGGAAAAGAAAAGCCAAGAAACGACCGCCCCUCGUUCUUGCCUCUAGUCCCGGCUAAAUAAAUAGAUUCUCUCUCAAAAUUUAUCAAAAGCCAAAUCCUUCCUCGACAUGUUUCCUUUCGAAGCUAUUACUUCUACUAAUAUUUCUAAUUUCCUAUGAAAGGAAUAUUUUCCUAAAUUAACAUAAGAUAAUUCAUUGUUGUUUUCCAAUACAAUUUGGAAACACACUUCUUAGGUCUUCAACUUAAAUUGAGAAACUACCACGCACAUAAUUUUCAACUUCUCCGGACUUGAAGGCUAACUUUAGGUUCGGCCACGAGGAACAAGUUAAAAAUCUUCAUUAAACCACUUUUUACUUCAUUUCUUGUCAAAUUCCUAUGGUCAGUACCAAUUGUCAAAUAUAAGUAGAAUCCAUCUAAUGCUAUAAUAUUUGGCAAAUAUCAAGGGAAAAUAUUCACAAUUUAAUAUCCAUUAUGCAUCCUAUCAAUUCCUCGCACACCUAAACCAUGUUUAUUCUUAAGUAUGAAAACAACCAAUCAAACAAUCGCGUUCAAACAGUGGCUAUCACUCAAAUCAUUUAUUGCCAACGUAUAAUUAAAACACACGUCAAGCAUUAGUGGCUAGUUUUUAAGAAAUAUCUCUCCGAUUAGUUUUUAAAACCAAUAACUUUUUCACUUUCUAAAUCACUAAUCUAAGAAUAUAAAUAUUCAACCAACAUUCAUUAGCAAAUAGUUCGACUAUUAAGCAAAAUCUCAAUACUAAAACUCAUGGAUUAGUAGGCUAACCAUUCACAUACUCUUACUUUCAUAUACAUUUUUUCAUUUUUCACCAUUAGCACAACUUUUUUCUCCUUUCUAAGAUGUCCUUAUAUUUGAUUUUUUCCUAUUUUUAGGGGGAAUGCUUGGUUCUUAACCAUUCAAGUUUUUUAACCUGAAUUUCAGCAUCUACCAAAUAAAUCAAUCCGGUUACUCAAUUCUCAUUGCCAUCGAAUCACAUACUUAUAAUUAUUGUCACUUUUUAAUGCGAAAGUCGACACUUGUGAUAAAAAUUCCCUGUUAACAGACAGCGAUAAUUAGUGCAGUAUAGCCAACUACUUGUCAUAAAUAAGUAUCAAAAAUAAAAUUAAAAACCACAUCAACCUACUUCAUUUUUCAACUACGAAGAACUAAAAUUAAUAAUUGAACCAAUAUUUAUUAAAAAUGUCAAAAAAUAUUUACAAUUCAUAAAAUCUCAAAUAUCAUCAGAGAGAUACUUUUAGAUCUUACUAUAUCAUACUUAACACAUUAAUAUAUAAAAUCUUAGUAAUAAAAAAUUUGAGACAUUUAGCCAUUAUUGAUUAGAAUUAACCACAAAAUUGCACAAAAAUGAAAAAAAAUAAAUAAAAUUCAAAAACUUUAACAAAAAGUUCAAUCUAAACGCCUAAAAGGAAUAGUACCACUAUACUAUACCCCCCAAAAGAAUCGAAAGGGAACAACAAAACUUUUUUGAUCAGCGAGGGGGGUAUAGCAGCUAUGGAUAAGGGGCAAAAGGAGGAGUACAAUAGACAGAAUGGUUGCAGCGCUGACCAUAACUAGCAAAGGCGAGCAGUGAUGAUGACGUCCAAACUCGAUGACAUUUUCUAAAUGGCGAUGGAAAAGAGUUCGUCGUUUGGAAUAUAAGGGGGAAAGAAAAAAAAUGAAAAGAAAGAAAGAGAUAAGGAAAAAGAAAGAAAAGAAAAGAAAGAGAAUAAUUAGAAUUUUGGGAUUUUUUUGCUCCCCUUUGUUGGAAUAAGACGCGGGCAUGUCUUAUUACUCUGUAGUUUUCUAAUAAUGAUUUUGAAAUUUUUACGAGAUUCAGCGCGCUCUCAAAACGUGGCACGUUUUGUUUCCCGGUUGUCUUUUGAAAUUUUUGAAAUUGAAAUAUGAACUUGCCAGUCAGUUAGACGUGGGCACGCCUUGCUGGAUAGCAGUUUUCUAUCCACUAAAAUAGUAAAACGAAAGUCAAACACAUAAAAUAUAAGAAAUUUAAACUAAAAAUAAUAAAAAUGAUAACAAUGAACUUAAAAUUGAAUUAGGUUGUCUCCUAAUAAGUGCCUUUUUUUAACGUUCUUGGUUAGACAUAAUGUAUCAUUUUUCAAUUCAAUUGUAAUUCAAACUUUCUUGCAAUUGAUGAAAUUUCUCCAGGAUCCAAAUCACCACUAUAUAUAAUCACCUUCUUUAACUUUUUAUCCAUUUUCACAUCAUAAGUUACUUUUAACCCAUGAUGCUUGGUCGCAACAAUUUUUAACUUACCCCUGUAAUUAGAUUCAGAAAAUUCUCGCACAAAGAGAUUAAUAGUAUAAAUGACAAACAUAAAAUGAGAGUUAAUAGGAUAUUUCAUUGCGUCAAAAAUAUUAAAAUGGAUUACUUCUUCAACAAAUUCUAUCGUAAGAAUAACCUUACUAACAUCAAUCUUAGUUUGAAUAGUACUCAAGAAGGAUUUCCCUAAUAUAAUGGGUGAUGAAUUUGAAACGCUUCUAUCAUUCAUCUAAAGCACAUAAAAAUUAGUAGGAAAAACUAAAUCCAUUAACUUGCACUAAAAUAUCUUCAAUCACCCCAUCCGAAUAAGCAAAUGAAUAAUUAGAUAAUUAAAUUAUUAUCCCCGUUUCUUUUCAAAAAUCCUAAAUUUAGAGAAUCAUAAAUAGAUUUAGAUAUCACAUUAAUAGAAGUCCUAAAUCUAGUAUGAUAUUUUUUAAUUCUAAAAUAUCCAAUCGUACAGGGGAUAGUAAACAUACCUGAAUUCCCACAUUUAAGUGUUAGUUUUCUUUGUAAAAUCACUGAAACAUUUUCAUCUACAUGAUUUGCUCAUCCCCUUUUAAUUUCUUCUUAUUAAUGCACAAGUUCUUAAAAAAUUUAGUACAUUUUGAUACUUGUUUGAUUGUUUCAAUAAAGAGAUAUUGAUUGCCAUCUUCCGGAACAUCUCCAAAAUUUCUUUUUCUUUGACUUGUCGUUUUGACAUCUCCAACCUAUUAGGGAAAGGUUGGGGUUAGUAUUAAUUUUAAUUGAAGAGUCCAAAGUUACCACAAGAGUUGCCUUGUUUAUUUCUUCUUUUUUCAACUCAUUUUUAAUUUGAUUUUCGCUCUUAUCCUUCGAAACUAUAGUUUUGGACCUUUCAAUUUCCUUUCCACUUUGAAGGGUCAUGGCGCUAACGUUCUUAGAAUUCACCUCAAUCUGAGAAAGGAGUCUUCCUUUCUCUUGAGACUCCAAGCAAUGUAUUGUAUGGGUCAUAUGACUCAUCUGAUUUUAUAUAUCUCGUAUACUUGGCUUCGUUUUUUGUUGGAAUUGCAAAGUAUUAGAAACCAAUAUUUUUAGCAUAUCUUCUAGAUGGUUAUGAAUUAGGAGUAACGGGUUAAGGUCUUGAUAGAUACUGCAGUUGGAAUCCUUGCUGUCUAUUGGAAAAGAAAUUUUGUUGCUUAUUUUUCUCAUAACUGAAAUUUGGGUGGUCCCUACAACCUAAAUUGUAUGUGUUGGAAUAAGAAUUAUAUUGUUUGCAUGGCGCAGACACGUUACCAUCCAUGUUCAUUUGUUCAACACUAUCAUCCUGUAGCAUCGGGCAUUUAUUAGUAAGAUGGCUAGUAUCUUUGCAAAUUUCACACGCCUUGACUUGUUCCCUACUGCCAUCUGUCAAAUCAUAGAUGUUAAUUCAGACAAUUGCACUUGAAGUAAUGAAAUAUUCACCUCGUUCACUCGACGAGUUGGCACAUCAUCCCAUGUGCCAAAUUAUUGGGAAUUAUCAGCCGUCUCUUCAAUCAAAUCCCAAGUUUAUCGAGGAGUCUUGUUCACUAAUGCACCUUCACUUGUGGCAUUAGUGAUGCUUCUAUUUCUAUAGAGUAAGCUUUUAUAAAAGUAUUGAAUGAGCAAUUGAUCACUGAUUUGGUGCUGCAGGCAAUUGGUGCACAAUUUUUUAAAUAUUUUUCAAUGCAUAGAUAUUCUCUGGGUUGCUGCUUAAUACCAUAAAUUUCUUUUUACAAAUUGGUAGUUUGGGAUGUAGAAAAAUUUUUAGAAAAAUUUUUUUCUUCAUAUCUAUCCAUGUUGUAAUGCUCCCCACGAGCAAAUAGUAUAGCCAAUUUUUGACAGCUUCUUUUAAUGAAAAAUGGAAGGCUCGCAUCUUAAUCUGCUCCUCUGUGACAACAAGUGGCUUCAUACUCAAACAGACAACGAUGAACUUGUUAAGGUGUUUGUGGGACUCUUCACCUGAUAAACUAUGAAAAUUAGGUAAGAUGUAAAUUAAUCUUGAUUUUGAUUCAUAUGUUACAUUUUUAACAAAAUCAGAAAAAGUAAUGACGUUACUGAUUUAAAUCAGGAGCAGCCAACUCCGUUAAGGCCCGGUUAUUGUUUGUCAUCGUAACUUCUUCCUGCUCAGAAUCAUAGGAAGAAUCCAAUAAAUUCACAACCAAAUUAAACCCCAGAGAUGCAGCAAAUGAUUGUUCUCCCUUUCAUAUUCUAGUUUCUUUUCACAACCUACGUGCAGUCUUCUUAACCUCGGGAUUGAAGAUUAAAUCACUUGUACGAGAAAAAUAAGGUAUAAACUAGCAAAAAUAUCAAAAACUAAAAUAAAAUAAAUACAAAAAAAUUAAUCAACGCCAAUCCCCGACAACGACGCUAAAAAUUGACAGGUGUCGAUCUUAUGCAAUAAUAUAUUCCUGCUCACGAAAAUAUAUAAACGAAUAUAAUAUUAAAUAGAGCCAUUUUCACAAGGAUUAGGGAAAGAAUUUAUCUCGGUUCAAGUAAAAAACUAAUUGGGAAUUUUGAGAAAUUAAAAUUAAAAUAAAUGAGCAAUGUAAAUAAAAAUAAUUGAACUAAGAUAAAUUAAAUUCAAAUCAAGAAUAAACAAACUCUAGAUAAGGAAAUAAUUUCGGAAGUGGUUCAUACAACAGCUCAUCGAUAGAAUGAUUAUUUCAAUUACUCGUUAAUAAACAGGUUAUAGUUGCCAAAUACGCGAUGACAAUCAAUUUUUUCUUACCAUCUCGAUAGUUAAACUAUACCAGUUAACUAUUUUUCUAACCAAGAAACAAUCCUAAGCAUAUCCAUAGAAUUUAAUUUCUUGAUAGUCUUAAAAAUUAAAAAAGUCCUAUUCUAAUCGAUAAAAUCACUACUUGAAUUUAUUUAAAUUAGAUCAUAUAUUUUCUUAACAUGAAACGAAUCACGUUAGGCACCACUAAUUGAAAAUAAUUAAACAAUUACAGAUUUAACUUAACUGGCGUUAGUUUGCUAAGUUGAAUUAAAUAUCGAGUGCCCUUAAUAUUCAAUCAACAAAACAACCAUGAGAAAUUAAAUCAGAAAACGUACGAAUUUUUUUUUAUCGAAACGUUAGGAUCAUUUUCAUUCCAAAGUGUAAACCACACAGUACGAGCAAAUGCUCGAAAUAUCUGUACAAACCAGAGCUCAAAAGCACUGAGGAACAAUCCAUUCCUCAUCCACUAUUAUGCCAAAGGCAUGAUGACUUAAACAUUUACUUCUUUCUAUUCUUUCAUCCCUAACAGACCUAAACAAGCACAUGCGAAACAAUCUCUGCAUGUUAAGAAUGUCCUCUAUCAAAGUAGCUAAACUGCUGUUGGAGGGGCACCUAUUCUUCAUCUGUCUCAUCAGAUCUUGGUUAUGGAAAUGGAUCGCAAUUCUGCUCCAUCCCUGCUCUAGAGCUUUACACAGAAUCAGUUUUAUGGCCACUGCAUCAUUAAUGGUUCUGUUACCCAAACUUCUCUCUCUAAGUGCCCAUUCUGCCAGUAAAGUGUUUGGAUGCCUCCGCACUCUGACCCCAAUCCCCAAAGGGACUUUCCCUACCUGACUCUCUGUUGCCACCUCCAUAACAAUUGUGUCUGCUUCUUCUAGCUCUUGAAAAGGUUCUUCAGUGAUGGGAGUUGUUUUUCCUGUGCUUAGCCUAGUUAUCCUACUUAAGCUUCCCUCCUGUUCCAACCACUCCUUAUGGGCUUUACUUAUAGUCCUAGCUGGUAAACAACUGCCUUUGUUUUCAAACUCUUUUUUGUUCCUUUCUUUCCACACCUGCCAUAAAAUGUUCGCUGUCAGACCAAUAUGCUCCAUCCCUCUUGGCCUUCUCCUAGCUUCUGAUACUGUGAUCCGCCAUCGUUUAAAACUCCCUUGCUGGUCCACCACACCAUCCCACUUUAUUGGAGCAACCUUCCAGACCUCCUGUGUGUGCGGGCAGCUGAAGAAUAAGUGUUCCACUGAUUCUUGUUCUUCCCCACACAUUCGACACACUGGAUCUCCCAACCUUGUCUUCCUAUAGAUUUCAGCUCGCACUGGUAGUGCACCUGUUAUGCAUUUCCAAAUGAAAAUUUUGAUCUUAUGUUUAAUGUUGAGCUUCCAUAAUGUUUUCCACAUUUGUCUGGCUGACUGACUUCCUUCUCUGAUGCUUGAACCAGCGGCCUCUACUUGUUCCUUUUCAGCUUCACUUCUCUCCUUCAUAAGGAAUUGAUAGCCUGAGCUGACCGUAUACUGCCCCCCUGCAUUAUGCUGCCAAUAAUAACAGUCCUCUCUCCCAGUCAGACUUAAGGGGAUGUUUAAGAUCUUCUCAGCAUCCUUAUGAUUGAAAUACUUAAAGAUGGUGUUCCUAUUCCACCUCUGUUGGUUAAUUAACUCAUGCACCAUCUUACAUUCAGAAUUUAGAGGUCUUGGAGUAGUUGGCUUCCCAGAACUGGAUCCAGGAAUCCAUCGAUGACCCCAAAUACUUGUACUCCUCCCAUUGCCAAUCCUUCUAAUCAUUCCUUGAUCAAUUAAGCAUCUGGCUCCUAGUAAUCCUUGCCAGAACCAAGACGCAUUCCUAUAUGUUUUGCAUGAUAAGAUGGAGUCUUUGGGGAAGUACCUAGCUUUCAGCACUUUACUAACCAGAAGGUUCGGUUUAGUGAUUAUCCUCCAAAUCUGCUUCCCAAGCAAGGCUUUAUUAUAAGCUUCAAUGUCCUUGAAUCCCAGGCCUCCUUCAUUCCUCUUCAUUGACAUUUUCCUCCAGGAAACGCAAUGCAUUUUAUUCUUGCCAUUUGUUUCUCCCCACCAGUAGUUGGCCAUCAGAGAGCUGAUGUCUUUACACAUCUUCCUAGAUAGUUUGAAAACAGACAUGGCAUAAGUAGGCAUUGCCAUUGACACUGCCUUGAGGAGUACUUCCUUACCUGCAUUACUCAGAAACUUAUUCCUCCAGUCCUGCAUCUUACUUCUUAUAUUUUCCUUGAUGAACCCAAAGAUCUGGUCAUUAGUCCUGGCAAUCACCAUUGACAGCCCCAAAUAUUUGCCUUGUUUUAUCUCUGCCAUUCCUCCUAUGGAACUGCACACUUCACUUCUAAGCUCCCUCGAUACAUUCUUGCUGAAGAAGAUAGCUGAUUUAUCCAAGUUGACCAACUGUCCUGAAGCCUUUUCGUAUGUUCUGAGAAUUUUCAUGAUUUCAGUAGCUUGCCUGGUGUUGGCUUUACAAAAAAUGAGUGAGUCGUCAGCAAAGAAAAGGUGAGUGAUGAGAGGACCUUGCCUGCUGAUCCUCAGACCAUUUAAGUCCUUCCUCUCCUCUGCUUUCUUCAAUGGGUUGGAGAAUCCUUCUGAGCAUAUCAGAAAUAAGUAUGGAGACAGAGGGUCUCCCUGCCUUAUUCCCCUUUCUGGAGUAACAAAACCUUUCGAUUCCCCAUUGCAGUUGAAGGAAUAAGUUACUGAACUCAAGCAGCUAGUAAUCCAGUUGAUCCAUCUUGCACAAAAGCCCAUCUUCUGCAUCAUAACUUGCAAAAAAUGCCACUCCACUCUAUCGUAUGCUUUGGCCAUGUCAAGCUUAAUUGCCAUGAAACUUUCUUUCCCUUGUCUUUUAUUUUUGAGGUAAUGCAUGUACUCAUGACCUAGGAUUACAUUAUCUAAAAUCUGCCUAUCUGGGAUAAAAGCUGAUUGGGUGUUGCUAAUGCAUUUUCCUAGAACCUGUUUCAUUCUAUUGGCCAAAAUUUUGGAGAUGGCUUUGUAUAUAACACUACACAAGCUGAUGGGUCUGAAGUUCUUCAAGCAAGAAGGGUGCAAAGUUUUGGGGAUGAGGGAAAUAACCGUGUGAUUUAUAGAUUUUAGCAUGUGGCCUGAGCUGAAAAAGGCUUGAAUGGCUGGAGUUAGAUCCCCUUUGAUAAUGCUCCAAAACCUUUGAAAGAACAAGGGGGACAUGCCAUCCUGACCUGGGGCUUUAUCAGACUGCAUGGAAAAAAUAGCUGACUGAAUUUCUUCUUCCUCUACUGGUUUAGUCAAAUUUGUAUUCAUAUCCUGAGUAAUAGAGUGGGGAAUACCCUCAAGGAUCUCUGCCAUCUCAUUCCUUCAUCCACUUGUAAACAAUUCUCGAAAGAACCCAGAAAUUUCUGAUACUAUUUUUUCUUCACUUUCAGCCCAAGAGCCAUUCUCCCUCUGCAGUUUUCUGAUUCUAUUCUUAAUCCUUCUCCCCUUCACCAAGGCAUGGAAGUACUUGGUGUUUUUAUCUCCUUCCCUGAGCCAGUCAAGUCUAGCCUUUUGGCUCCAGAAUUUCUCCUCCUCCUGAUAUGCUUCCUUAAGCUGGUGUUUAAGCUCAGUCCUCUUCUCCUUCUUACUGGGAGCCUCAGAGCUACUUAAGGCCUCCAGUCUUUCCUUUACCUCUGCAAUUUUCCUUUUAGAGUUUGCAGCAAACGUGUUCCUCCAUUUUAGUAACUCAAUUCUACAGUUCCUGAUUUUCCUUGUUAUCUUAAACAUUCUUGAACCAGGUUCAUCCCUUUGCCAAGCUUGCUCGACUACCUGUUGCACCCCUUCCUUAUGCAACCAUCUUUUAUCAAAAAAGAACCUUUGUUUCCUUUUCCCCUUUUCUGGAUCAGUGUCUAAGCACAAAAUGCUGUGGUCAGAAGCAUAAGUGUCCAUAUGCUGGCAUUUAGCUUUAUCAAAAGUUUGCACCCAUUCAUAACUGGCCAAGCAUCUGUCUAAUCUUUGCCUAAUUUCUCCUUCAUUCUCCCAAUGAUUACUCCAAGUCCAUGGGUGUCCCUCAAAGCCUAUAUCUAUUAAGUUACUCUGCUCUAUAAAGGUCUUAAAAUCCCUGAAGCUGCUCUCCUCUCUGAAAACACUCCCCCAUUUUUCUCCAUUUGACACUAUAUCAUUAAAAUCACCUGCUAUCAUGUAUCUAUCUCCCCACAACCUGCUCCUAUCUCUCAAAACUCUCCAUUGUUCCUUACUUAUCUGUCCAUCACAACUCGCAUAAACUCCUAUAAACCACCAGUCACAAUGCUUAUCAUCAUCCUCUAACCUGACUUCAAUAGUGAAGGCUGUUAGAUUAACUUCCAGAACUUGUGUACCCUCUUUCCAAAAAACUGCCAUUCCUCCUGCCUUGUGCAUGGCUUCUACCACUGCACUGUUGUCAAAACGUAAGCUUCUAGCAAUCCUAUCCAAAAUCUGUUUUCUAUUUUUUGUCUCACUUAGGAAAAUAAAGCUUGGAGAGAGGAGGUUAUUAACCUCCCUCAGGUGGGGAACUGUCAAGGGGCUCCCCACUCCUUGACAAUUCCACACCAAAGCCCUCAUUUCCCUUGGGGGGCCCUAUAAGGGAGAGACCCCACCUCCACCUCAGACAAACCUGUGUAUCCAGACAGCUCAAGAGCCUUAGCUUUUUUGCCUACUGGCUCUUUCGAAUACACAUCCUCCAUUUCCUCAUCAAAGACCAGCAUCUUUCUCUUACCACUACCCCCAACGAAAGCUUCCUGUCCAUUUCUCUCUCUCAAAGGCCUUCUUGUCUUAACAGGAGAUUUCAGCUUUUUAUAAGACCUUUUAACUUGCUUUGUCAUAGCUCCUUGCCUCUUUACCUCACAAAGGCUUUUCUCCUGCAUAGCUGCCUCAAAGACUGGUAUCUCUUGUAGGCUGUUCUCCUGCUCCAGCCAUUUUGCACUCUCAUCUCUAACCUCAACCAUUUCCUCCUCUACUACUAAAGUCACUCUUUUCUCAGUUCUGACCUGCGAUAUCAGCAAGAGGUCCUGAUUUUCCUUAGUCAAGGCCUGAGAGCCAUCACUGAGGUCCCUAUCCUUUCCACUACUGUCCCCUUUAUAUGGGGGGCUACUUCGAAGAUUUUCCACCCUUUCCUUCUCCUGCUCUUUAACAACCUCUGGAGAACUCUUCGUUCCUAGCCCUGAAGACCUCAACGUCUCCAGGAUUUUCUCUCCAGCCUGCAUCCUGGUCCUUUCCCUCUCAACCAUUUCUCCAUUCUGAAACUUCCAAUACCUUUUAUCCUUCACCAGGUCCUCUCUCACUGUCCUAUCCUUUGUUGGACUUCUAUUACUUCCUGCUCUCAGCCACGGCCCAUAUUGAUUCUCCAAGAGGGUCCCUGAUGAAUUCCUUUGUUCUUGACACGUACGUUCCCCGUGCCCAACUAUACCACAGCUGUAACAGAAAUCCGGGCAUCUUUCAUAUUUAAAGGCAACCCAUUUGAGUGACUCUGCUACAUUAACCAACGUUCCUCUGAGGAGGGGUUUAGACAAAUCUACCAGGGCAAGAACUUUAAGAUGUCUUCCCUCUUUUCCUCCUGCCUGAGGUAUAAUCACUUCUUUUGCUUCUCUAAAAACUGCGCCAAUCUUUCUCCCUACCUCCUUGGACAGCCAGUGCACUGGCAGAUUCCACAUUUGUACCCACAAAAGUGCAGUUGUAAAAGCUCCAUAGUUAUCUUCUACUCCCUCAGACCAUCUGUUCAGCACUAGAACUUGGUUGUCCAUUAUCCAAGGACCUCCUGUCACUAUCCUUUCUUUCUCUUCUACAUUUGGGAUAUUAAACUGGAAUAGAUUCGGUCCUAACUCCAUAACAGUCAAGUUCCUGGGGUAGCUCCAUGCUGCUGUCACGAAGUUUUUCACUCCCGUAAAGUUGGCAAUUUUUUCCCCCAUAAUUCUCCCUAUCAAACUGUCUGCACAAUCUCUCCUCCCACUACUAAGGUCCUCAAGCUCCAACUUAGCUCCUGAUAUCUCGUUCCCUUCCAGAGAAAACUUUUGUAACAAUUCAGCCAGGUCUCCCUCCAUAGAUGAGCUAGAGAUGCUAGCGGGUAUUCCUUCUACGUACUUAGGAAGAAAGAACUCUUCGACUUCCAGACAGGAAAAAACAAAAACACGAACCCAAGAGAAGAAAAACAGACAACGUAAGAAAAGGCUCACAGAAGGCCUACCUUACAGAGAGAAUACUUUAGAAAAAGACAUAACAAGGUUGACCACACAACAAGACGACAGACAAGGGUCUCAGACAACUCCAAAACACUACCAGACAUGUACUACCUCAGAAAUAGGAACAAGUAAAAGUAAAGGGCAAACAAGAUUCACCUGGCUUUCAGCUACCAUAAAGUGGAGACUUUAAGAUGUCCGUUGUUCCCUCAGGAGAGACCUCCUAGAAGCUCUCUGAGUGCGAUAGUUGAGCUGCAUUAAACAAGCAUUUGAUGCAGACCAGAUCGGUAGUGGUGAUGUUCAUCGAAGUUAGAUUGGAAGGUGUUGAUUAGCCAUAAAUUUUGAAAAAGUUUGAAUUUUGAAGAACUCCCACCAAAAGGGAGGUAAGCUCUUAUCCCAAGAGAGAGCGUCAUCUACGCAAAGAGAGGAGUCACUUUACGUCAGAAAACGUACGAAUACUAACAAAGAUUGUGUAUUGGAAGAAAACGUGGACGUAUAUAAGACAAACACAAAUCUGAAAAUGUUGAUGCUUCACUUUCAUUUAACUAGACUCGUCAAAGUUUCGGUCCUGCAAUUCAAGCUCUAAAAUUUGGGGAGGUCCAUUUCUUAAAUUCAAACCUGUCCCUUAACUAAUAGUACAUUGCUUUAAGCGGUCUUAGAAAUGUUAAAAACAGAAUAGACACUAGAAGAUGCUGCUGGUGUUUUUCUAAAAUUGCCUUCUUAUUCUUAGUCAAAAUUUGCAUGGAAAUGAAACAGGAAAAGGUGGCUUGUGAAGAAAAGUUGUAGCCGAUCAAUGUCGUGUGACUUUUUAAUUUUUUUUUUCAACAUCGGAGUAUCCCAACUUUGUCAGAUUAAUGUCGUGUGAUUAGUAACAGCAAAAUUGAGGUGGUGUUUUGAGAUUUUUUGUGAGGACAAUAAUGGAACCUAAAAUAUUGCGACCAUAUUUUGUUUCAGCGACUCCUAUUAAGUUUCCAAAUGAGUCUGCUUUAGCCCGAAGACCAUUCUCAGAUUACGCGUCUCUAAGCACGAAAGUACAGGCAAAAUAUUUGCUGAUCCGGGGGUUAAUCUCUAAACAAGACAGAUCAUCAUUCAAUUAAAAAAAGUUUUAAAUUCCUUUACGGCUUUGUUUUGUGUAUGUGGGUGGCGUUUAAUCAGCUGUUAACUUGUUUACUUAGCAUUGAGCAUUGACAUAGAAAGAUAAAAGAAUUUUAGAUUAAAUAUUGAUUCACAGUAGAUAGAAAUAAUAAAAGCAAGGUCUUCUGUCAGAAUGAUAAUUGAGAUCGGGAAAAACAAAGCUUUUAUGCAAAAUUGCUGACUACUAUUCAUUAUUACUUUAAACUAAGCUUGAUUGUUUACAAAUAAAUGAAUAACAUAUAUCACACACUCUCUCUCUAUAUAUCUAUAUAUCCACCGAGUGGAGUGGAGUGGAGUGGAGUGGAUAAUGCUUCAAAAUGCCCAGCCCUUUUUACAUUGAGGAUUGAGCAUUCAAGCAAAUCUAUACACAAACAUUUUUUAUGCUUCCAAGUGCCUUGCUCAGGAGAUGAAUGAUGAUAAACGCAGCUUCGCUUCCGCAAUGUUGUUAUGACUGCGUCUUUUAUCUCCUCUGGAAGUUGAAAGUUUUAAUGGCGUAGGCAAAUAUGAAGGCAAAAAUUACCGGCAAUCCGACAACUACACCAGCAACAACUGGAAGAAAGUCAUGUUUGAAUCCAAAGUAAUGUCUCAGGUAAUCUUUAAUUAAUUCGCCGUUGUCUUCAAGACGAUCAGACAGAUCUCCCCAUUGGGAUACAAACAGGCCAUACAAGGUCCAAGCCACGGGACAUCCCCAGUAAUACCAUCUCCACCAAAUAGGAAUCCUCUGUUGUUUGACAAGAAAUUCAGAAUUAUUAAAAAGAAAGAAAGAAAAAAAAAAGAGAGAGAGUAAGAUUUCUUGCUUUGCUUUGCAUGCGUGACUAUUAUGGAAAGAAAUGAUGAUGAUAUUUGCACAACUUACCGGUCGGGGGAUGAGGAAUCCAGAAAAGAGAUUCCAUCCAGCAUAAAAGGCAGAUGCGACGACGGCAGAAAUGUUGUGAUUGGGAGUGACAGACACAACCAUCAUGCCAUAGAAGGUGAAGUACAGUAAUGUGAAGUACAUGAGGAACAAGUACCAAAGGAAUUUCGAGGCGGUCCAUUCAAAUCCAAUCAUAGCGUAGGUAAUGACAGAAUAGAAUACAGCUUGUUUAAGGAUGUAUAAAAUCUCAAUUCCAACCUGGAGACAGCAAAACAAUUUAUCAGAAAAAAAAAGACUACACUCGUGAAGUGCCAUGCAACGUCUGAUAUUCAGGAAAUCGGCUCACCUGUGCAAAAGCAUAUGGCAAGGCAGAAUACAUUCCGGCUGCUCUCUCUCUGUAGAAUACCGUCCGUUCUAUAGCCACCACAGGUUGCACUGCUGAGGAGUUUUGCACCCCCAGGAAGAGAACAGCAGCAUACAUUGAACCCAUGGCAUUGAAAAGAUCUUGUGUAGUGUCCCUGCGUUACAACAAGCCAAUACGUUUAGUCAAUGGAACUUGUGCCGAAAUCAUGCUUCACAGGUUGAUUUUCAGUGAUGCGCUUGUUAACUUACUUUCUUUUACCCAGCUUCCAGAAGAUUGUCCCAAAUGACAGAGCAAUGAAGGAGGUGAAUAAAAAUCUCACGGCUGUAUAAGGUGGAUUGCGCCAGUAUGAUAUGCGUUGUUUCCAGAAGCAAGCCAUGCAUUGCACAGGGAACGCCUGAGAGUACUUGGUAGGGAAGUAGAGGUCUUUUGUACCAGGGCGCGGGCUAUCUAAUUCAUGAAUGAGUGCUUUGUUCCUCCUGGAAUUUGUAACAUAUACAAGUAAAGAAGUGCAUACUAGAUUGAUGGUGUAUUCUGUCAUUGAAUAUUGGCGGCCCAAAGUAGCAUCAUCUGAUUUAGAGGCAGAAAUUGACUGUUAAAUAACUAAACUGACCUGUAUAAAUCAGAGUUUUUAUAGAUCUCAGCAAAAUCGACUCCCAACAUAAGUUCUUGUGCUGAAGCAGUAACUUCCAACAUCCAGGUUGCUGGGUUGCAACCAUCUUUGAUUUUGCUGACUCCAUGAAUUGCCUGAAUUUGAAAGAAAAAUGAAUACAUAGGGUUCUAAUUUGGAAAAGAAGCUUUUCAGGCAUUACAUGUUAAUCAGAAACUUACCUCAAAGUACUUAAUUAAUUCGAUGGAAUUGUGGCCAAGCGGCCCGACAUAUAUUUCUUGGCCCCCUCGCUUCAGAAGGAAUAACUACAGAACCAUGUCCAGUGUUAGUAGUUCUUAUUAAUUCGAAAACCAAAAAGUACUCAAAGUUCUGAACAGAUCAUUACCUCAUCAAAAGCUUCAAAUAUGUCAAUGCUUGGCUGAUGAAUGGUGCAUACUACAGUUCUUCCAGUGUCUACAGUAUUUCUCACAGUUCUCAUCACAAUUGCAGCAGCUCUUGCGUCAAGACCUGAAGUUGGCUCGUCCAUGAAUAUGAUUGAGGGGUUAGCCACAAGUUCAACGGCAAUGGUAAGCCUCUUGCGCUGCUCAGUUGAAAGACCGUUAACCCCUGGCAGCCCCACAAGUCCAUCUCUCAAUGAAGUAAGUUCCACAAGUUCCAUAACUUCAUCAACGAACAUCUGCAGAUAUUAGUAACAUGAAUAUGCACAUAAGAUACUUGAUAAAGGAGACGCACAUUAGCAAGGCUUCAUAAAUUUGUCAACAUUUUGAUUGUUAAACACAAUCAGAUUGAGGGAUACAAACCAUUCUGGUUUUUGCAUCAACUUCUGCGGGCAGACGCAGCCAAGCUGAGUAAACUAGAGACUCAUAAACAGUAACGUGAGGAGAGUGGAUGUCAUUCUGCUCGCAGUAUCCAGAUAUCCGAGCAAAGGUCUCCUGAUUCUUUGGAUACCCAGAGAUUGUAACGUUUCCUUCAAUAUAUCCGCCAGUUUUUCUACCAGCCAGCACAUCCAUCAAAGUUGUUUUACCGGCUCCACUAACACCCAUUAAAGCAGUUAGAACACCAGGCCUAAACGCUCCACUAAUCCCCUUGAGAAGCAUGAGUUUAUCUUCAACAGUACCCUGAUCUUUCAUUGCCUGCAGGUCAUUGAAAGAAUUAAGCAGGUAUUUCAGAGAUGGGUACUUCAAUGACUAAUUAUUAGCAGUAGCAGUAGCUGCUUAUAAAUCAUCAACACAGGAUUCCUCUCGGAAAGUUUGAACUUGUAACUUGUCCAAGUACCUGUGGCAUGUCAACUGAGUAUCUUAUGUCAUCAAAGGUAAUUGAAUGCGGUUCAAAUGGAAGAAUCAUUCCUCUUCUCUGAUUCUCAUUGGACUCAGUGAUGGCAUCUGCCCACGUAAAAGUAAACCUUUAGAAACCACACAAGGUAGAGGCAUCAUUGCAUCCAUAGGCAUCAUUACAUCCCUAUGCAACUUACCUACGGAGCCAUCUCUUUGGCCAGAAUUUUCAGUGUUUUCACUUUCUUCUGGUAGAACAGCUUGAGGCUUCCCGAUUGCUGCAAAAGUUUUGUCUAAUUAUUAGUACCUGACCUUCAAAUGAUUUCAACUUACUAAACAAAAACGAUACUCACGCUGAAGAUAAGUGAGAGCGAGGGUAUAGAAGAAAUUUAACAGGAGAAUGAAUCCACCACACGCUCCAAGUCCGAUCCAGUACCAGUAUGAUUGAGGGAAGAAUCCUUUCGAUUUCAAGACUUGAGUUCCCAAUGUUUCAGUUGUAUUUGGCACAAUCUAUGCGAGUACAGAAUAUAAUAAGAAGUUAGUCCAAAUCCCAGAUUCAGAAAUUCAGGAACCAUGCAAUUGCUGAGCAUAGUAAUUUACUUGUCUCCAGUGCUUUCCCGUAAAUUCGUUAACAAGAAUUGCAUUCUGUGCAUACAUCAAUGGUGAGGACCAGUAACCCCACAACCACCAUUUCUUCACUUGGUCUGCAUCAUUCCAUAAAAUAAGAAAAACAAAAGCAAAUAUCAGUCACUUUUACUGAUUAUGAGGAGAACAGAGAUUUGACUUUUGAAUUCGGAGUAUUACCUCUUGAUAAGACAAAUCCACCCAAUGCAAAAAGCAGCAUCAAUGCGAAUGUCCCAAAUGUGUUAGCCACAAUCAUGUUCCUGGAAGCUGCCCCAAUGAAUCUAAACAAUGCUGAUGCUACCUGAUUUAUAGCGACUAGUAUGAGGUAGUGUUUGAAAAACCUGCAGCAAACGUACCAGAUAUGAAAAAUGUGGACCUUUAUUUACUAUAAAAGUUACUGAGCUAAGUUAGUUUGACAGUUUACUAUAAAAGUUACUGAGCAAAGUUACUUAGGUAGUUUACCUUGCAGGGCUUGGAUCAAAUCCAAUGACAUAGUAGGUCAUAACUACCCAAACGGCAACUUCAAGAAAAGUGAUUGGUAUCUUGAGAAUCCAUGUGGGCAGAGCAUAUGACCAUGCAGGGAAAAACCGGAAGUCCCUUUGCUUGAAGAAGACCGGAAGCUUGAGAAUUGUCAUCGCCAGUUCGGACAUUCCAUUAAACAUGACCUGAACAACCGCGAAAAAUAGAGCACCAAGAUAUAUUCCUCCAUCAACAACAUCUCUUCUUGGCAUUUUAGUCCUAAAGAACACUGUCAUUCCGAUUAGGGCCAUCAUGAUUAGCUGAGACAUUUUGAAAAUGUAGAUAAAGGAGUUUCUCUUUAUAAGCAAGAGUUCUCUAGCGGAGUUGGCUUUAAAAAUCUCUUUAUUGUUAACACCAUAGGUUUGGGUAGUCAAAGCGGCUGGAUGACUUUUGCUCUUAUCAAACGGUGUUGCAAGUUCAUUUGCUAGUGUCCUUCCAACAUGGAAUGAUUGGAAUGACUCGGCAAAUUCAGUUGCGGCUAUAUAUCUGUAGGGUUCGUCUCUACGUGCCCAGUACUGCUGCUGAUCUUUCUUUGAUGUAACCUGCACAAAUAUGUAAUUUUUUGUUAUGACUGGAUAAGGGACUCAAAAAUCGAUAUUAUUAUAAAUGUUUAUUUUACAAUAAAAACAUACUUCUUGCAAGAAGUCAGCAACUCCUUUUCUGUCCGGGCAUCGGAAACCCAUAGAUUGAAAAAAUUCAAGAACAUUUUCUCGGGGGCCCUGGUAAACAAUCAGGCCAUCGGAUAAGAGGACAAUAUCAUCGAAGAGGUCAUAUGUCUCAGGAGCCGGCUGCAGGAGUGAAAUGAAUGCAGUUCCCUUCAUAAUAUGCACAUAUUGUCUGAGGGAAUUCACAAUCUGGAAAGUAGUGGAACUAUCUAAUCCAGUUGAUAUCUCAUCCAUGAAUAGCGCAUUUGUCGGUCCAACAAGCAUUUCACCUGAAAUUUUAAGUAAACCAUCAGCUAAGUCUAGGGCUGUAAAGUCUAAACAGGGCUUGCUCGAAGUAUGGUUCAGUUUUUACCUGUUGUCACGCGCUUCUUUUGUCCUCCAGAGAUUCCUCUUAGCAUUUCAUCUCCUACCAGAGUGUCUGCGCAAAUUUCCAGUCCCAAAAUCUGCACACCAAUGAAAAUAUGAAUACGUAUUUUGCAGUUUCAUGCUGUUGUAAGACUAAGCGGAAUCUAACGAGAUAUGGUACCCGAAGAACAUAAUCUGUGACAACAGUUGCUUCUUGGCCUUCAGUAGCCGCAGACUGGAAUAACCAAAUAGAACAUGUGAAUCACAAAAUGGACAAACUAAAAUUGCUUUGCUGAUUAGUUUAACUAGAUUAGCAUUGUAAAGAGACUGAGAAUCAACAAUCAACUAUGACUAGUGUUAUUUCUUUCUGACCUUCAUGUAUAUAUCAAUAUCGGGAUCAGGCUUAAUGUUUGCUGCUUUUUCUCUUCUUGACAACUCCGCCAACAUCUCUGCAAUUUUUUUUAAGAACAAUGAAUAUAUUUAAUCACCAAGUAAACAUAAAAGGACAUAAAAGAGCAAGAAGUAGGAGUAAUCUCCUGACUAACCAUAACGAGAUCCAACUCCUUGGCAUCUGGCAGAAAAUGCUAGAGUUUCUCUCACAGUCAUUUCUCCAAUAUGGAGAUCAUGUUGACUAACAUAUGCUGCAGUUCUUUGGGGUACAAAUUCAUUCAUGCCAUGCCCAUUGUAAGUAAUCCUUCCAGAAAACUAGUGUGAAAAAAGAAAAGACCUUAGUUUAUUCAAUUAAGAAACGCGAUUCCUAGCUUCAUAUCGGACGUUAAUUCCAGCAGUGUAGUUGCUGUAGAUUUACCUUCAAAUCGGGGUCAAGCUUUCCAGCCAAAGCCAUCAAAAGUGUUGUCUUUCCAGACCCUGGAGGACCUAAUAGUAAUGUCAUUCUGCAAAAACAAGAUUAAAGAGUUGAAACAAGAGACAACUAUCUUCAAAUAUUGAAGUCACAUACAGAUAUAAAACCCCUGAAUUAGGCCAUGUUUGAUUUCAUUAGUAAUCUGCUGUCUUACCUUGAAGGCUUGAUAAUUCCACUGACAUCGCGAAGUAUUUUAAUAUUCUUCUUUCUGCUUGGAAGUAUGUGAAGAUUGUUCAAGAGCCCCUUUUGAAAAGGUAAAGGAAAAAAAGGAAGAGCGGGGAAACAGACAAGUUAGAUCAAAGCAUCCGUUGCAUGCUUGAAGGUACAAAUAAUCUAAAACAAAUAUGUUUCAUAUAACCGAAAAGCAGGCGAUGAAUAACAAGAUUUACCUCUAUCAUAUUGGUAGCGAAGUUAAGGAAGGUAGGCAGAGCACUACUUCCAACAUAAGCUUCUGCGUCAACUUUUAGAUGCUCAAAUCUUACUUCAAUUGUAGGCAAAUCGAUUCCAACUCUAAAGUUAUACCACAGCGAAAACCAAAAAAAUCCAUCAUUUAAAAGAUCAAAUUUUUGGUUGAUUUAUUUGUUGAAAGAUACAAAGUGAAGAGAUCAAUCAGCAGAAGUGGUAGUACCUAUCAAUUCUGUUCCUCAGUUUCAGCAAGAAUUUCUCAUUAUCCUCUUCGGCAACCUUGAUGAGCCUCUCAAUGAGAGUUUUUCUAUCUUGAAAUCCAAAGUUCUCUACAUCCACUUCAUUGACUUCACCUCGCGACCCAAAGAGCAGCCCUUUUCUCAGUCUAUCAAAGGUUGGUAGCUUUUCAAGGGAAGCCCAUUUCAGAGCUUCUUCAUCAUCUUCGUCUCGCGAUGAACGUGAAAACACUUCCAGGCCUGUAUUCCUCCACAAGGCUGAGCUGUUAGCUCUUAAACUACCUCUUAAACUACCGCUCGGUCCUAUCUCCAUUCUGAUCCCAAGUGCGCACAAUAUGCAACACUAGCCCAGUAAAACGUCUUCAAAAACAGCUCGAGAAUCCUCGAAAUUUGGCACGCUUGAAUCAAAAUCUUAGCAAUUCGGCCGCCUUGAUCAAAAGGGAUGACUACUCAGUUCCCAGUCUCUUUCUUUCUUUCUUUUUUUUUUUUUUUUUGCAACUGGUCCUUCAAAGGACGCCCCUAGCUGCAGAAGGCGUGCAAUUACAUACAGUUUGAGAAAGAGUUGGAAGACGGAGAAAAGAACGUAAUAUUUUGAAGGGGGAGUGAGUUGGGGAGUAUUUAUAGAAUAGUUAACUUGUGAGGAUGUUAAAUUUUUAAGUUGAACGAAGACCGGCGGCUCGUAGUUCUUCUUUUUUUUUUUCCCAUUUCUUUUCUUUUCUUUUUUUUUUUUUUUUGCCAGGCGGAUGUACCCAUUUCUAGAAUACGUGAAUUUUUUUUUGGCGGGGGGAAUUUGGAUCAAAUAUUUUUCUCCUGUGUACGUGGAAAAUGGGAACAUCAUUGUUGACCGGUGACCCAGGUUCCUUCCUUUGCCCAUCAAAGCCUAUUCCUUUAGGAUAAUUUAACGGUCCAAAUAAUUAACCCACAGGUCUUAAAUUGGUCAUAGCGGCGGUCAAAAGCAGCAAAAAAAAAAAAAGAUAGUCAAAAUAUCCAGCUUGAGUUCAUAAAAAAAGGGGGCCCUGUGAAACAAAAAAUUCUCUUCUUUUUUUUUUCUUCCCUUUGUGACAAGAUAAAAUUUAGAUAUCAUUAGAGGAUUUAUAUAUUCUAUAGCUGUUUUUUUGUUGAAUGUGAUUACAAGUAAUUUUGCAUUGUGUAUGGAUGACAACUUAAAAAUGUUUUUGAGACCUCAAUCUUAGUUAAAAAUGAUAAUUAUUAUUAUGGGGAGGGGAACACAUGGAUAGCGGAAAAUUGUGAUUUAUCGUUCUUGUUUUCUCGGUUUUGGUUAAAGCAGGAAAUCAGAAAACAAUAAAUAAAUUCAAAGGGUAAAUUUAAUUGGGGCGCCGCAUUUGACCACAUGCGCUCCCAUAACGUUUUGGUCAACUCUUCAUGUUUAAUUAUUUUUUAAAUUCUUUUCCUCCUUCUUUAUAGUUUUAGAUGCCGGUAUCAGCACUCCAUGUUUGAAAUCACGGGUUGCAACUUGAAACUCAUUGUCAAAAAAGAAAAAAAAAAAAAAAAAAAAACUCUUUUCCCAAAGUCCUUAUUUGCAAUAUUCCAGCCAUCAUACAAUAAUGUACCAGAGGGCUGCCAAAGGAGCGGUCGGCAAUCAUCUCUGGAAAGCUGUCACAUUUUCCCCCUAGUGGUGCUAACUGACGAUUAAACAAACAUAUUCUAAUAUGAUUCUCUAUCUACUAACCACCAAUAUAGGUUUAAUCAUACUUUGCCCCCUCAACUAGGGGUAAUCCCACUUUGUCCCUUCAACAAAAAGAAUACGGACAUACUUUGCCCUCCAUCAAGAGCAAUCAACCCUCAAGUCUGUGAAGAACACCAUUUUAAAAAGCGAUGAUGAUUGGAUAAAAAUACCCUUUGGUUGCCAAAAGACACAAACAUAUAGCAAUAAAAUGCAACUUGAUCAACGGUACAAAGAAACUCUUAUACUCACAAAUUACUUAAUUUUGGACCUAAAACCAUAAGAGAUUAUCGAUCGAGAAAAGCAGAGGAUUAGUGGUUGCUAGUAGAGUAAUUGAGGAGUUUUCGUCGAAAAAAAAAAAAAGAUUUGCAACAGUUAACAAUUGAUCAUUUGAUGAUUUAGGGUCAUGAAAUUUUAUUUUUUUUUUGUGAGUGCCAUGUGGUCCUUAUUUUCGGUUGAAGGAGAAAUAUUUCAACAGGUAAAACACUCAUGAUUUCAUGAUUUUGAGUUACCAAAAAAAAAAAAAAUAUUUUCUUUUUUUUUUUUUUUUCUUUUAAGCUAAGACGUUGUGCUACUUUUGACCAUUUAUAUGGAUGUUUGUUACAACAACUACAAAUAUGUACUUGUUAUUUAGGAGUCCCUUUUACUUUUAGUGCAAAAUUCGAAGAAGAAAUUACUUUUAGUGCUUUUUAGGAGUCAUAUAUUUUGAGUGGAGAUUUAGUGCUACUUUGCGAGGCUAAAGUGUAUAUAGUCUCUUGAUUGAGGGUGACGAACUGAACCUCCCCCAGUCUGGGCCAGGGAGGCAAAGUAUAUGAUUAGCCCAGAAAGAAACCGACGCUGUUUAGUUUAAAAUAUGUCAAACCUAAUAAUUCUGCAUUGCUUUCGCAUCAAACCUAAUAUAUUUUGUUUAAUUUAAAAUAUAUCAACAGGUAGCAAUCUGACUCUGCCGCACAUGAUUCGAUCACACGUUUUGAGGACGAAAUCUAACCAAUAGUCUGCAUUGCCCUCGUCAAGUGCAGAAAAAAAAAAAAAGGAAGACCGAAGACUUUUCACAAUCAACUUGAUGAAUUGAGCUGGCAAUUGGCGUGAACCACUUUUAAUAAAUUCCAAAACCCGUAAAAUUCACACAUCCACACGUUAGUAUUCUGGAAGCUCUGACGGGCACUACGACUUGGAUUUUUUUUUUCUCUUUUUUUUUUUUGGAAUUUUUAUGCAGGGAGCCUGGACCGCUGGACGAGAUAUGUCGAAAUAAUAAUUCCAAAUCCUGUUGCCCACACGUUAUAUUUGUUACUUCAAAUUUUUCAUUCUGACAGGAUAUAAAUUGCUCUAAAUUCCUGUGCUCGUAAGGGUGGGUGGAUAAAUAAUUAAAAGCACAGCACGCCUAGAUCUGUUGGACAAAAUAUUUAUAUAUAUAUAUAUAUUCAAUUAUUAAUUUGUGGGCUAGCUUCUUAACAUAUUUAUUAAUUCAUGACCUAUCUUAUGGUAGUAGUACUAUCCUAAAUUUUAUUAGGAGUAUUAUUUUUUUUUUAAAUUUUCAUUUUCAAGCAAAAUAUAUUGGGCUUCAAGUUCCUGAUAUUUAGGAAAUGAUGUCAAACGAUUAAAGAUUUUAACCAGGAAUACUAGUCUAUCUUUUCUUUUCUGCCCUUGAAAACUCAGGAUGCAUGCCCAACUUUUUUGUGGAAUUUCUUUUUCCAAACGUUUGGAUUCAAGUAACAGGACGUAGACAGUUUUUCUCGGUCGUGCACGCGGACUUUACUUGCCCAUUUUGGUGGAGAAAAAAUGAAGAAAUAUCAUCAUCGUCAUGUUAGUAAGUAGUAAUUUGAUGAGGUUUCUGGACCUUUUGGCUUUGUGCUAAGGGGGGAGUGAGGAGCGGCCAUGAUGGAUGGAUAGGCUGCAUUUGCCUCGCAAAUUCCUCCUCUUUUGAACUCAAGACUUUCUCUUCAAGACGCAGGACUUGACCAGUCUACCACCACCCAAGUGCUCGUGAAAGUCAACAGUCUCUUGGGCUCUUGCUACCACCAACCAAGACGUGAGAGAUCAAAAGUUUAAUUCUUAUUUUUAACUUUAUCACUUUAAUUAUAUCUAUCAGUUAAUUAUGAUUUCUUCCGACGGAAUUUCAUUGACCCCUUUUUUUAGAUUAGAUUAAAAUAAAUUAUAUAAAUAUUGUCGUAACGAAAAAAAAAAAAUUGCUCGUGAAAGUUUUGGCUGGGAGCUUUCUCAGUCUUUCUUUCAGUCGAUUGAGCAAACUUCAAAAUAUCUCCACCUCUUGUCAUGUCAUUCCAAAACGGUCCUAAUAAUGAUGAAUAGUUCAGCAGCCAUGAACACCUGUCCUGCAGCGGCUGACCACGAAUUACCCAGUACUGCAAAAUAUCCAUCUCCGGUCUUAUCCAAACGGAUUUUGUUCUUUAAAUCAUGAAGAAACCAAAGGAUCUUAUAUCACAACGGGUCACAUACGCGCUCUUUGUCCUGGCGAUCAUAUGGUUUACCAAAUCCCGACUCGUGAGCUUUUUGUUUUUUUUUUUUUAUUUUGUGCUGUCGUAUUUAAUGGAGUGCACCGGGUACGUACCUUAUUAGAAGAUGUUACUGAUUUGACACCAUAUCAAUAGCCCCAUUUGAUAUGAAUAUGAAUAUGACAAGAAUUAAUAUAAAUAUGAAUAUGGCUCGGAUUUGAUAGGAUAUGAACAUGGCUAGAAUUAAUUGUCAAUAAUUUAUCCCAGCGUGUUAAGGAUAUUUUCUUGUAAGCUAUGGUUAGAGUGCCCUUAUCAACACACCUAAUUUAUCAUGUGAAUAAAUCGUCGCAAUUGUUGUAUUUUUUAUAUUUAUAUACUUUUUCAAAUUAUCCACACAUUUCUUUUUUUUCAAGAGUAGAACUAAUAUCUGAAUUCUUUCGGAUGUCCAUUGAAUGAUCGUUAAUCAAACCAUUAUAUAUUAAUUGGUUAUUUCAACUUACUCUAACAUAAAAGUUUAUAACUUUAACGUGUUAUCUUAUUACUAUUUUUUUUUUAAUCACAAAAAAGAAGUGAAGUAUUCACUUUCACUUGAUUAGCUUCGCUAGUAGUGUACUGAGUCUUACCAACUUGAGCUUGUGGAAGCAGAAAUUUGGCAGUCGUUGAUCAAAUUUCCAAUGUCAGAAUCGUCUCCAACUAAGUCGUAAGCAAUUGUUUAGUUGUUGCUGCAUCCCCCUUUCCAAGUUUCAACACAAAUGCUUGGUGCUGAAAUCCAUCCGGAAGGGAAAUGCCAAACAUUUAAUCUGGUCUUUCCAAACAUUUUAGACCUCGUCGUGGUCCGCAAUAGCCACACCCAGUCCACCUGCCUUCUGCAGGUUCAUAAAAAAAUUUUAACUCAUCCACUUUUGGAGGAUUCCUUCCAGCUAGUUAUUAACAAAUCUAAUUUUCCCUCUGCAACCUGUCUAAAUUCCAGCAACAUGAGAAUGCUGGAUAAUCUUUAUUAAUUUAAUUUUUUUUUUGUUGAGAAACCUACAUCUGGAUCUGGGGCACAUUUGCAAAAUUUGUAAAGCUCCAGCCCUCGAAUUAGUAUUUAAAUAUCUUCCCCGCGGGGGGGGGGGGGGGGGAGGAAUGAAAAUUCCAAAAAACACAACUGUCACACAUCUGGAUCUGGGGCACAUUUGCAAAAUUUGUAAAGCUCCAGCUCUUGAAUUAGUAUUUAAAUAUCUUUAGGGGGCAAGAAUGAAAAUUCUAAAAAGUACAACAGUCUUUGUGUACAUAUAUAUAUUUUCCCUCCCACCACCGUUUCUCACGUCCUUCCAAAAUCCAGCUCCCAACUAUUAAAUCUUGAAUCUAAUAACAACGAAAAAAGAUUCCUUCCCUUAAUCACCCGGCCAACCCCACAGUUCGCCGGUCACAUUUAGCAAUAGACAAAACAUGUGUUAAUCGGAGUAUUUGACAAAGUCAAGUCUAUCACAAACCUCCAAACUGUCUCAAAAGAUUUUAUUAUUUGGACUUGAAAACAAAUAUUUAGCAUCUACUACUUUUUCUACACCUGUUUUGAAUUUUCACAACAUUCCAGCUCUGCGUUGAGUAUUCAAAAUGAUGCGCUCAAACUAGGCCUUAUUUGAUUCAGUCUUUUAUUUAGACCCUGGAGACGUCGUCGGUCCUCCGCUAUUCACUGCCGCCCAUCCUCCUCUUGGCUUCCCGAUGAGGAUGGUCCUCCGUCGCAGGACAAAUUUCAGAAUCCAAUCCAACCACCCUCUAUCUCACCUUAGACUUUAUUAUUAAACAAUUUACUAUCAAAAAAAAAAAUUGAAACUAUGACCUUGGCAAAAUUAAUAAAAAAAAUUUUACAUUUUGUCGUGAACAAAUUCAGGCAGUGUUGUAUACUGGAAUUGACUUGGCUAGCAUAAGACCGACCGACCGACCGACGUGUUUUCAAGUGCUACAAUAAUAAUACGUAAACGUUCAAAGUAAACAGACGGAUAAGCUAAUGCAUCAACUUUCUUCUCGUUUUCCUUUUUUUUUUUUAUUAUUUGUAUGUAUCAUUCGGCUAAUAAUAAUAAUAGCGUUCACAUGCUGUCAGAUCAGAGUAUAAAGGACCACGCUUAUAAUAAUAAUAAUAAUGAGAAACUUUCAGGGGCGGGCGUUGACGGAUGAAUUUCUGCGGAGCUUCCUUCCAUGAUCGUGCAUAAGAAUUUACUACUUUCUUCUCCAUUUUUUAAAACUUUUUUUCUUCUUCUUUCUGUUUUUGUUGGGUGAAUGCUUGACUUGCUCUGCUUUUCCUUCCCGUCGACGCAAACAAAAGUGAUUAGCAAGCAGGCUGCAAAAAAUCAAAAUAGCUGUUGCUUCCUUUCCUCUCCUUUCCUGCGCGUGGUCUGGUCUGAACACUUUACAAAAGCAUCCCUCUUCAAUUUGACUAAAUUUUUGUCACAAGUUUCAUCUUCAUGCGAUUAUUUUUUUCCCUAAUAAAAAAACUCAUCAUCAUCGUUCGGUGCGGGUUGAUAAACAGGUCAGAAAUCCAACCUUCUAGUAGCCGAAGACGUCAAUGGUCGGGCAUCUUUGAUAAAAAGUAUCAUGAUAUGAUAUCAUCUUGUUUGAUUUUUGGAUUGGUGGGUUGGAUUGGAUUGUUUUUCUCAGAUUUUUUUUUAUGUAUGCAAAGAAAGAAAUAAAUGAUCAGUCUAAGUAGCUAAAGGAAACUUUCGUAAGUAACAAAACUUCAAUGUUCAAACUUCCAACCACUACUUUCAUAUUGCAGUAAACAACUAAAAAUUCCACCAAGAAUACCCUAUAAGAUACAAUUAUUUGGCAUCUCCGAUCCAAAUAGAAGUCGAAGUCAAUUCCCACCGCUUACGGGAGUCGCUACUGGCAAACAAAAGCCUGGCAUCAUGGACAAACGUUUCAAACACGGGAACAGGAGAAUCCUCCCAAGAUUCGCUUGAUCUGGACUUCUACACUCCAGACAGAAUUACUGAAGUCAAGAGUGGAGGGAGGGGAACGGAGGGGGGGAAGAAGGCAAGUCAACAGGGCACGUAGGAGAGAAUUCAUUUAGACAAGCAUCGGACCUGCUUAACUCGACCCCGUUAAUCCAAUCAAUCAAGGAUUAUAAAAAUGCAACAAUUACGCACUACUAAUUUCAUCAAAUGGCCCUUUUUUAUAAGGGAGGCACCUCUGAUGGAUAUUUUUAGUUCAUUUUGUCUGUGCAAAUAUAGCAGUGAAAGUCGGGAAGUAUUUCCCCUUCUCACACUCUUCUACCAAUUUUUGUGUGUUCAACGGCAUAAGGGAUGCCACAAGUCAGGAAGCUUAAGCAAAGCGCUGCUUCACCAGCUAAAAGGUACAGAGAACAGAGUGAUUAAACGUCAGUAUUUGCGAAAACCAUGCAAUUGAGAUCAUUAGCGAGCAAUCCUUGGAAGCAAGACAAGGUCAAAAGAUGAAAGUGUUGUACAUCUCAAGAAUGAGCUAAUGGUCUCCCUAAUGCAUUUUCAUUAGAUUGAAAACUGAGUUUACAAGAAGACUGACAAACACAACACCUCAAGUCCCAUUAGCACCAUUCUGGUAACUUAGCUCUGUUUGGAAAUAUAUGAAACCAAUCCCAGUCAAUUUGCAUCAUCAUCAUCUUUCUCAUUUCCAGCAGUUGCAUUGACACCAGAAGUUAGCUCGGCUUCAACUGACAUGGAAGCCAACCUCUCAUAUACUUUAGAACCAAAUGGAAGAAGCUUAGACUGCCUUGUAAGAGUUUCACUUAUCUUCUCAUAGUUCCACCUUUGCUGAACGUAGACUAUAACUGCUAGAACAGCGGCCGUGACUGGUAUUGCAAUGUCCCCGAACUUGGAGAAGAAAUCAAAUCGGGGGUUGACAAACUCGUAUUCCUCGGAGAAAUAGGGGUUUGGAAUGGGAGACCUCACAAAAUCGUAUGCAUGGGGAAGAAGUCUUACUGCUGUUAUCCCAAUGUAGUAAAACUUUCUCAGUGGUUUACAACGUAACUGCCAAAUAUAGUUGCCAAUUACUUGGGGGAGGAGGAAAAAGUCUUGAAUAAGACCCAUAUACUCCUGCAGUUCAGUUUCCCAUUCACGUAGUGUUUGGGAUUUGCCAGAUGAAUCUAUAAACUUCUCAGUCUGAAGAGGUCUGUGGCUUGUAGUGAGAGAAUGGACAAACAGAACAAGGGCAUAACCGAUGACAUGUAUGGUCAAGGUGGUUAGCAAGACCCUCCUGUCAUUUGGUACACGAUGUGGUUCAAGAGGAGCCCUUGUCAACAAUCUGAUUCUCGAUCUCCACACUUUUUGACAGAGCCUCAGAAUAAAUGAAAAGGCUACAAGCACAAGAAGCUUCACCGUGUAAUCAAUUACGCGUAUUGCCUGGCUCUUCUCAAGGUCAUAAGCUGGGUUCUCAUAAGAUUCUGAAGCCAUCUUUUCAAAUAUGGCCUCUGCACCCGUAAUUAGUGGAAGGCUGUAACCAACAGCUUGGAUGCCUAGCAUGACAAGAGACAUGUAAGGAACAGAAUCCACAUUGUCCCUGAUGUAAAAUAUCUGGCUUACUAUGCAAGCGAUUGCAAAGGAAAGUGUUAGGAUGCGAAGGCUCCCUUCAACACCUCUACGAGAAAGGAUGUCUUCCCUUUGCCCCCGAUACACAAUAGGAAAAGUUUGGAGCUUGAUUGGUCUAAAAUAGAGAGGAUCAUCAUCAUUCCUUUUGCUGGAUAUGGAAAUCCUAGCAGUUGGACUAACUAACCAACGGGCGGUAGUUGGUGGAUAUGAUACCAUAACUUCAAUUAGACAAUCCAAUCCAGCUUCAAGAUCCAUGCUUUGAUACAGAAUGUUCCAUGAAGCUCGAACAUCUCUGCAUCCAAUUAAAUACAUCUUUCCAGCAUGUUGAUUGUAUAGCCCCUCCACAAAAAGUACUGAGAAAUUGUCAAAAGAUUUUCCACUUAGAGCAAUUUGAGCAGAAACAUUUAGGAGGAGCUGCUUCUCUGUGUAUUCAGCUUUAUCCUGAUAGGGGUUCUCCUGUUCAGUGUUUGAAACAUUUGGUGACCAGUAACGCCCCAACAAAGGACCAAGAGAAACAAUUUCCAUUUGGAAAUCUGUUCUUGUGAGAAAGGAGCUGGAAUAUGAAUCUGGAACUGCAGGUAUAUGAAGAGUGAGGUCUUCAGAAAGAAGAGAGAGACUGACAAGGAAUGAUUCUGUGGCUUCUAACUUGGGAUACUCCAGUAAAGAUUUCUUAACCAUAUUACCAAAGUUGAAGGGUUCACUUUUCUCUAAGACCGCACCAGCUGCAUUAAUUUUUGUGUAUUUAUAGUAUGGACGAGCAGCUGUGAACUGAUCCCACAACUCUGCAGGGCGCACCAGCUUCUCAAAUGAUAGAGGAAAGUAAGAUCCAGCUCCUCCAUCAACACUAGAGAAAGUGCCCGCUAUGAUGCUCCUUUGUUUUAUGGAAAAUGAGAUAGGAAUAUAUAAGCAUACUCGAGAACGACAGGCAGUGCGUUCACUAUCAAGCAAUCCAAGGCAGCCAACCAUGCAAAGUUGUCCGCUGGAAGAUUUCCAAAUUCCCUCAGCAGAUAGUGUCAUAUUAUUAAGACCAGUUCUUUCUGCUGCAAUGAACUUCUUAUCAAAUGGAGGAACUGCUCUGAACACUGAAGAUAUCCUUCUGAAGUCAGGAUUGUCAGCCACUUCCUGACAUCGGAAAUCCUGAAUGACAAGCUUAACGUCUUUGAAGCUCCCAUCUGUCUCCUUUAUCUGCUUAUCUGCUUUGAAGGGUCCCAACUUGCUGCAAAACUCAUCCGUUCCAUUGCAUCUCCAGUUCGGCACAAUAGUUAAAGCUUCUUGUUUGGUAUACUUCUCAAGAAUGUUACAAAAAUCAAGCCCUCUAUACACAUCAAAAUCACCAUUCACCAGAGUAUCUUUAUAUGGGUAUGGAUCACAUGCCCUUGACACGAUCUUUUCAGAACCAAACUCGUAGUUUGCAGAAGCAGCCAACCAAGAAGACAUGCUAAUUUCAUUAAAAAAUUUUGGAUUUGAUUUCAAAUUUAAGCUCUUCAUGCUUCCCCGUAUUCUUCUGUUUACCAAAGUGAAUGUCCUCGGAUAACGAAGCACAAGCAGAAUUUGAUCAUCUUGCACGAGUGGGGGCUGAUUAGCAUAACCAGAUUCCUCAACCCAUGGCCAUGGCUCAGCAGAUUCAGGCUGACGAGAUGGUAACACUGUAUGCCCCAACAAACACAUAACUCUUUCGGCCCCAUUCUUCUCUGAUUCAGUAUAAACUCCUUGGAAUGAAAUAGAAAGCUGAGAAUGACCAGGCCACAUAUCAAAAUGAGGACUUCCCUCAUAGGGCGGUUCCAUAAAUAAUCCAUCCGAUGUUAUCCCCAUUAGCAAUGCACCGCUGACACCAAUCCAUUUCUUAGAUCGAUGAACUUUAUUAACAUCAGUAACCCAAAAAGAAACCAACUUUGAGGGAGAUCCAUGACUCAGUGAGCCAUUUAUUGCAAGAUCUCUAUCAUCAAAGGGCAUAAUGGGAGCACCAUUUGACUCCUGCCACCAAUCUCCAUUCAAAAAGGAGAGCUCUUCUCUUAAACUAAAAACUAUAUCAUCAGCAGGUCUUAAAUUAGAAGCAGAAGAUAAAACCAAGGAGCAUUCUUUCUUCACCUCAUCCAUCCUAUCAUAUCUGUAAGUCAUUGAAUUUCCACUCCUGCUCCUACCACCAAACUCUCCAUCAACAAGGUAUGCUUUUCCAAAACCAAAGCACAACAAAACUAGCAACCCUGUUAAAAUCCAACCAUCAACUCCAAAACACUUCAUCUUUACGCUAAAAUUACGAUACCCCUCAAAGCACUCCUUUACAACUUCUAAUCUGAAAGAAUCCCGCUAACCAAAUAUUAAUUUUCUACACCACAACAAAUACCUCCUUUUGAUCUCCCAUACGAAUAAAAUAUAAGUCUGCAGUUACUGAUGCAAAAGCAAAGGGAAGUACAUGGUAGUACCAGAAAUGAUCAAGAAAAACAAAAACAAAAUUAGGAGCACGAGAAUGACAUUAUCAGAGGACUAGUGUCUGAAUGCUGAAUGAUUUUUGCAUUUGCAACUAAUUGAUGCAGUUACCUGUGAAGUGGGUUGUCCUUCGAUUCUUCAUCAACGGACUUCUUUGAGGUGAAUCCUUGGAUCUUUGGAUUGAAGAAAAGUGGAGUUGAGAAAUAGGGAAGCGAUUUGGUGAAGGAAAGUGUGAACUUGAAGCAAAGAAGAGGAGUGAUUGUGACACUGAGAAGUCAACCUAUUUCUCUACGCAGUUUUAGUAAAAUCAGAGUAGUAGCAUCGAUUAAUGCAACAUGAAUUUGUAUAAUCUCAGUCUCAUUGAAUAUUUUACAUAUGUAUUUAAUGUUUUGCUACAUUAAAAUUUUUGUAAGAUUAGUGGCAUAAAUAGUUUGUGAUCGAUGUGGAGCUUAUCAUAUGGCACAAAAAAAUAAAUUUUUUUGUCAAUUUUUAUGCUUUUUUUCUUUCUCAUCUCACUAUUUAUUUUCCGUUUUCUUUUUUUGGUUUUUUAAUUUUGUGUGUCUGAAAUCCAAAGCAAAUGAAAUAAUUUUUUUUGUCACAAUUUCAAAUUAAUUCUGGGUCGUGUCCCAAACAGAUGUGUCUGACUCCGAUCCUGUCCAGCGGAGAAACUUGCACUCACAUGUCACAGACCCGGAAUCCACGGGCGAACUUGAUGAGUUUCUGAGACGGAUCAACACCUUCUUAUUAGGUAGGUGCAUCAAGAUUCAAGACAGAAAACUUCUUUGGAAACUAUACAUAUUUUAAGUUGUUGUAUCGUAGGUACAAAAUAACUCAACCAGAAGCACAAAACAACAAAUAGGUUUGUGAGGAUGAUGAUACACAAUUUUAUCAAUAACCAAUUUGGAUAUAUUUAUCGAGGAUAAUUUGAAAAUAUUGGUGAAAAAUUUCUCAAAUGUUUCAACCAUAUUUUUUUACGAAGGCACAUUAAAAUGUACUCCAAGAACACGUAAAUAAAUUACUAGAAUACUUAUAAAUUUGAACGUUACGAAUAACAUGCAGUAUUUUGGGCAAAGUGGAGAAGACAAUUAGGAUACAUGCAUCACAAUUUUAUUUUAUUUUUUUCAAGUAACAGAAACAUUUCACUGAAGUAAAUAUGCACCGAUAUCUCCAGGAUACUGAUGACAUUUCAAGUAACUACCAAAGAGAUCUGUAAAAUGUUGCAUAUUCACCUACAGUAGACUAGACUCAACUUCUAUUUAAACUUUGAAAAUGUUGCAUCCACUCUGCUGCACAUGAACUAUGACAGCAAAAGAUAGGCUUAUCAUUAUGAUCACAAUCUUUUCAAACCUUGAGAAAACUUCUGUGCUGCUGCAAGUUUCAGUGGGAUGGAAGUAUGGAUUGAAGACAGGAUCUCUCAUGUAAUCGUAGGUCCGAAGAAGGAACCUUAAGAGGGUCAAUCCAAUGUAGUACACCUUACUCAGGGGCUUAACUUGUAUCUGCCAUAUCAAGUUUCCCAUUAUCUGGGGAAGCAAAAACCAAUCUUGAACUACGCUCCAGUGUUCUUGCAGUAUGGUUUCCCAGUCAGUCGCAUUGUGGUUUGCAGCUGCUGCAGACAUUGUUUCGUCAAUCUUGAGUUCCCGAAUCACCAGAAUAAAAGCAACGCCAAUCAUGUGAAUUAUCCCACUUGCAAAGACAACCCGAAUUUCCCUUGGUCCGUGAUCUAAUGGUGAUAAUAAACUUUGAGUACGUUGUCUUGAUUUCCAUACCUUUCGACAGAGUCUUAGAGCUAGUACAACCGCGACCAAGAGGAGGGAUUUCUUGAUUAUUUCCAGCAUUUUGAAGUGCAUGCUUCUAUCCUUGUACGGAGGAUAUUUGCUGCGGUAGUGAUAUCCGCUCCACUUGAUCAGAACUGUGGUGUUCAUGACCAAGGGAAGACAAUAGACCAGAACUUGAAUGGUCAGCAUCAACAAGGAAAUGAAGGGAAUGACAUAAUCGUUCUUCUUCAUGUACCAUAAUUGGCUAAAUAGGCAACUGAUUGAGCCUAGAAGUAUUGACACACGUAAAAGCUCCUCAAAGUUUCGACGAAAUCGUACCUCUUUUGAGUUGUCAGUGUAUGGAAUCAGAAAUGUCUUUAGCCUGAUUGGCCUAAAGUACAAGGGAUCCUCUGCAUUCCGGGCACUGGAAAUUGAGAUCUUAGCUGUAGGAUUUCUCAACCACCUGGCGGUCUCAGGGGAGUACCCUAUCAUCACUUCUAUCAAGCAGUCCAUCUUGCUUCCAAGAUUCAGAUUCUCAUACGCAAACCUCUCAGAAUGCUGGAACUGGAAGUCGAUUUCCUUGCAGCCUAUAAGAUACAUCUUUCCUCCAAGUUGAUCAUACAGUCCCUCAAGGUAGAUUUUUGAUAUAUGACCAUAGUUUUCUCCACUAAGGGUGAGAUGUGCUGACACGUUCAGGGGCAGCUUCUCAUCAGUAAAAGCAAAAUUAUCUCGACUUCCAGAAUACAGCUCCCCAUUAUCAUGCCUUGUUAAUUCGGACCAAUAACGUCCAAACAAUUUGCCCAAAGUGAGUAUCUCGAAGUAAACGAGUGUCCCUGGCAAUUUGUGUUCAUGAUUAUGAUCUGGGAGAGCAUUGACAUGAAAAGACAGCUUACUGGACAGAGAAGACAGCAGAGUCAAGUUAUCACGAUCUUCAGUGCUUGGAUACUUGAAGAUCAAAUCAUGAACCACGGUGCGUAUGUUGAACUUCUUGCUUCUCAUCCAAAAAUCAUUGGCCAAAUCAAUCUUGGAGUACUUGUAUGAUAAAUAAGACCUGCUAUAGUCAUGAUACCUGUUCCAGAUAUCAGAAGGAUGGACUUUCUUUUCAAAAAGCAAAGGGCUAAACGCAUCUGUCCCUUGAAUAUUAGUGAUAGUGCCCAUGAGAAUGCUCCGCUGAGUGAUUGACAAUAUGACAGGUAUUACUAAGCUUAUUUUAGAAUUGCACCUGUUUAUAUCGUUCUCAAGUCCAACACAGCCAAUCAUGCACAGCUGCCCAUAUGAAGGAUUCCAAGUUCCUUCUGCAGAGAUGGUCAUUCCAGAGAUACCACUCCUAGCCCCAGAAUAAUAAACAUCCUCCAAAGGAGAUAUGACUCUAAAGAAUGCAGAAACCUUUGCAGCUCUGAGCUUACUGAUGUUGUCCCCUAAAACACAACGAAGAUCAGUCAUCAUCAGCCGAAACUUAUGAAAGAUGUUGUCUUUGCUUUCAACCUUCUCACCGAGUACAAAAGGCCCCAAGUUCUCACAUAUGUUGCUACUGUUGCAAUUUUCCACUACAAUAUCAAAUUUUUCAGAAGCAAAGUUUUGAAGGACUCUACAGAAAUGGUUCCCAUGAUAUACAUCACCUCUCUUCUCUGACGAUUCGUGUUCGUACAAGUCCGAGUUGCAUGCUUUUGAGACAAUCUUCUUGGAGAUAAACUGAUAGCUGGAGUCAUAGGUUUGAUGACUGAGCCGGGAAACGAUACUGAUGUCGUCAAAAUAUUUGGGGUCUGACCGUCUGUUCAAACUUCUCAGGUCACCAACUAUUGUCCCGCUGGUCAAAGUGAAACUCUGAGGAUAUUGAAGAACAAGCAUAAUUCGAUCAUCUUUGACAGGAGAAAAUUGGCGGUUAUUCUUGCAGCCAUAAUUCAAUGACCACGUAGAAAAAUCAGGAGGACUUUCUGAAAAAGGAGAUACUGAAUUUCCCAACAUGCACAUCAAACCCUGCCCUCCCUCGUCUUCAGACUCCACAUAAUGUCCUUCAAAAGCAAUUGUUAGCACAGAGUAUCCAGGGCUUUUAUGAAACUUGGGAUACCAAGUCUGCGGCAUGUCUGGCAAAGUGCUGUUCCUCGUAAUGCCUAUAGACAACAGUCCACAAACGCCAAUGGCAUUGUUACUUGGAUCGGAAAGAUUAAAUCCCAUCACCCAAAACGAAGCUAGCUUUAGAAGUGAUCCACUGCCACUAAAGUUCAUUGGCAUGUCACUUGAAUCAAAUGGCAUCAGUGGUACUCCACUAGCCUCUUGCACCCAAUCUCCAUUUUGGAAAGAGAGACCCUUGGCAAUUUCAUAGAACUUUUGAAUUCCAAGUUGAGCUUUUGAAGCUGAAGAUACAACGCGGGCGCAUUCUCUCUCGACUUCCAUAAGGCGUUCAAACUUGCAAAUCCUUUUAAGGUCAUCCAACUCUUCUGAAUCUUCAUAUGCUGGUAAUAAUGAACUUGUUGCACCAACCAAAAAUACCAAAAUGAAUGGCAAAACUAGUCUAAUGUGAGAGAAAAACCGGAAGUCCAUUCUUGAUAAUCUGAACUCUCUGUUUUAGUGUAGAAAACCAAUUCGGCUUCAACUUACAGGAAAAUGAAGUUCCUUCUUUUUUUUUUUUGGGUGGAAACUAUCUGAAGGUUUUGCUGUAGAAUGUUAGCAGACUGCCAUGUUAUAUAGAGAUAAAGUCGCAUCAAAGUCCAAAAGAAAACGUCUGAAAUGAUCACUUCUUAUUUGGACAUAGCAAUUCAGCUUUUUGCAGAAUUGAAGAACAUAGUGCCGGAUACCCUAAUGGUAAAGUUUCAUCAAGUCUAAAACAUCUUUGUCAACUAUCUUUGUGAAAUCAGCCGGCCUGAUUGUUCCAGUUAGUCUAUGGUUUAAGGUACUGUGUCAUAGAGGUUCUUGUUGUCAGUACUGGCACCAAGUUGGAUUCUGAGCAAGCUUCCAAAGUAAUUGCAAAUUAGGUAAUUAGAGAAAACCUCACUAUCCCAUUUCGCCAAUAAAUGAGAUCUUCAUCAAGAUCAAAACCCCAGACUGCAAGUCGCCAUCCUUGGAAUCGACAAAUUUUUUACAAGCCAACUUGCUACUUUUUUAAAGCAAGGGGUGUGAUUUUAAGAAAUGAGGAAGGGGAAGUGUUGAGAUAUGCCAACUUUUCCUACUGAUUUUAUCAUAUUGUGUUUGAUAUCAAAAUAAUUUAGUUAUUAGAAGAAUAAGAAUAUUUGUUAACCAAAGAUCAUGUUGGUUUGUUAACAAAUAUAUUAGCUAAGAUUUGCUAGUAGAAGAAUAUUAUAUUUUGUUGAGAUUUUUAGGAUAAUUGUUAGUUGGAUAUUUUGCUAGUUUGUUUCAUGCAAUCACUAUAAAUAGUGAGUUGAUGAAUGUAGAACAUAAGUUCAUUUUCUACCUUCAAUACAAGUCUCUUACAAGCUUUUUUUUGCAACACUAAGGUGUUAUUUUUUAGUUUAUGCCCCAAAAAAUCAACAAAGUGGUAUCAAGAGCCUAUAUCUUAAGGGCCUAAGUCUUUUUUUUUUUUUUUUAGAGUGAUGCAUUGGUGAGGAUCCUUUAUAAGUUCAAAACCAUGACAGGAAAGAACUUUUUGUCAAAUGUUUCAAAUUUUAGUGGUGAAACUUACUAAAUUUGGGUCAUAAAAUUUUGAACUUAUUUGGUAGUCAAUGAUCUACGGGAUAUGGCGGAGACGAAUUUUGUUUCGCCAGCAUUUGAAGAGCUGAUAGAUACACAAAUUAGAAACCACAAAGUUGUAGUUAGACAGAGAUCCAACGCCAGCAUUCGCAUUUCAAUUUUUUAUGCCGUUUUCCCAAGGAUAAUGGCUAAUGAUUUGAUUGAGAAUAAACUAUUCUCAAUUAAAAUAAAAAGAAAAAGUUUCACUAUGAAUUGGUCAGAUUUUGACAAUUCUAAAGUGGAACAUGAUGAUGAAAUCAAGAAUUCAGAUCCUGAAAAAAAUUCAGGAGGAGAUCAUUGAUAAAUCAAGAGGUAUCAAAUUGAUUCCUGAUAUUUAUCAAGAUUAUAAUAUAUCUGUUUUUGAGUCUACAGAUUUUGAUGGUGAUGACAAAAUGAAAAAUCAUGCAAAAUUUCAUAUUUUCUGUAUAGGUUCAAAUAUCGUCAAAGAGUGUUCCACUUUAAAUCUAUGAGAAUGUUAUUUGAAAAUAUUUAUAAAAAAAUCAUCUUUUAUGUGGAGUUUGGCAUGAGAAGACAAAAGAAGUGGUCCGUUGCAAGACUAAUAUUUAGCUUGCAUAAAAACCCAAAGGAAGAAGUUCAUUGCAAGGCUAAUCAUCAAUUGCAGAACUUCUUACAAAAGUCUCAUCCAAAAUAAGAUUCAAAGAUUUAAAAAGACAAUUGAAAAUCUGCAGCAAAAGUGACAAGGAGAAGUGUUGAGAUAUGCCAGUUUUUCCUACAAAUUUUAUCAGAUUGUGUUUGAUAUCAAAAUAAUUUAGUUAUUAGAAAAAUAAAGAUAUUUGUUAACCAAAGAUCAUGUUGGUUUGUUAACAAAUAUAUUAGCUAAGAUUUGCUAGUAGAAGAAUAUUAUAUUUUGUUGAGAAUUUUAGGAUAAUUGUUAGUUGGAUAUUUUGCUAGUUUGUUUCGUGUAAUCACUAUAAAUAGUGAGUUGAUGAAUGUAGAACACAAACUCAUUUUUUACCUUCAAUACAAGUCUCUUAUAAGAUUUUUUUGCAACACUAAGGUGUUGUUUCUUAGUUUAUGCUCCAAAAAAUCAACGGGAAGGAAGGAAUUGAAUCUAAAACCCUCUCAUUUCUGAAAAAUAUUUACUGAAAGCUUGAACUUUCUAGAACUUAACAAAAAUGUUGCUAAAAGUUGGAUGAAGGAAUGCAAACUCUACCCAAAGAAAAAAUGAUAAAGGAAUGCAAACAAAACAGGUGAACCACAUGCUGAUCGCAGCCCAAAACGAUCACUGCUGCAUACUCCUACGCUAACUACAUGUAUACUAUAUGUUGAAUUGCUUUAACACAUCUGAAAGUUAGUUUUUCCGCCAAUUUCCUAAUUUUGUACAGAAGAAAUUUAAUUAAGCUGAAUGCACUAGCCAUGAAUGCUCCAGGAAUAGAUUUCGCAUGCUUAACCAUCCCAAUUUACUCUGAAUGCGCUUAGUAGGUGAAUAGUCCUCUUCUCAGCUUCUCAGUUUCUAUAUUUGGUGGUUUGAGGCUGCCGGAGUAAUUAAACUAGGUGAGUAGUCCAUAUUAUUAUAGUAAUCUAAGUAGAUUAUCACAUUACUACAAGAGUACAACAUACUAUAGAACAUGAACCAUGGUGAAUAAAGCUAUAGAUAUAAUCUAAGACUGCCUCAGAUACUCCGUCUAACUUGUUUGUCCAAGUCCCCAAUAAUUGCAGACGGCACUAAAUUGAUUAUGAGACAAUCAACAACAAUGCUUCAAGUGGUCGGACGCUA
rnacentral:lncRNA from 1 species